AAAUUUUUAAAAAAAUAUAUGAACUAUUAAUAACAAUUUAAUUCACUUUUAUUUGUACUAAUACGAGAAAUAUAAUAAUAUUUUAUUAAAAUUAAUAUUUUAUAUAUAAUAAAUAUAUAUUAUUAUAUUAAUAAUAUUAUAUUUUAUUAUCGGUGUUGAUACAGUUUUUGUAUUUUAAUUUUUUAAAAGCUGCUGAGUCAUCGUAUCGGAGUCGUGUCCUAUCCUGUGUCCUAUAUCAAUGUAUGUGAAGCCUAGUAUAAAAGUGAUAGAUAUCUAGCGAAACUAAUUCGAAAAGAAGUUAAUAACUUGCAGGUUUGUGCCAUGAAAAGCUUGUUCCAGAUCUAGUCUAGCAUUAUUCCCCAAUCAGAUCCGUUUAGCGUACAAUUGCAUUGGACCACAAAAAAAAAAAUAAAAAAAAAUAAAAAAAAAAUAAAAAAUUUAUAUUCAACAUUAUUUCUUUAAAAUUGUAAAAUUAAUUAAUUCUAUAAAUAUUUUUGAAUUGAUUAGGUAGGAAGAAUCCAAAAUCUUUUAUAGGUCAUUUCAUCACCACAAUAAUCUCCGGACAACAUCCUUACGGCCUACGUUAUGGAUUUGUGCCCUAUCAGUGAAAUAAUUAAAUUAAUACAUUUUUGCAUUACUAUCAAAAGUAAGAUAACAUUAAUAAAUAAAAAUUUUAAAAAGAAACUAAUUAAUUAAAGAAUAUGCUUUUGUAAAACACGUUGUUCUCAGCCGAUUAAUUAUCAUAUAAAUUGCAUUGCAUGCAUUGUCACCUUUCAAAUCGUUUUGAGACGUACACUCUCCACCGUUGAGUGACGUGGUUGCUGUGGCUGCUGAGCUGACACUUGGUAAUUAAUUAACGUCUGAUCCAAAAUUCCAAAUUAUUACGGCGAAAUGUAUGGAAAGCCCCUCAAUUAUCAACAAGAAUAUAUAAAUAGCCCUCUCAGUUUUUUUUUUAAAAAAAAACUUGAUAUUUUCAUUUACUAUUAUGCUUUUAGAAAUUAAUAAUUUUAAAAAAAAUACAUUAAUAAUUUUAUUAUACUCAUCAAUAAUUAAUUAUAUCAAAUUUAAUAAUUUUAAUCAUCUUAUGCUCAAUAAAAUUAGAACUAGUAAUAAGUAAUAGUUUUUAAAAGUGCGAAAAUUUAAAACAAAUUUGUAUAAACUAACAUAAAAUUGAAGGAUUUAUUUUAAAAAUGCCAACGGGUUGAGGGGUCUCAUAUUUUUCUUUCGGGCUCACGUGUGCAUACUAUAGCCAUAAAAAGGUGAAGAAAAAAAAAAAAAAUCCAGAAUACAUCAGUUAUAUUACUAAUGUAUAUCAGCAAUCAAUCGGAUUAUUCACCUUAGAUUCAUCCGUCGCAUCAUAGUUAAUAGAAAAAUAUUUUUAUUAUACAUUUUACUUGAAAGAAAAAAUAUGACUAACUGUUAAUAGGUGAUAUAGUAUAAUAUGACCGGUGCCUAGUAAAAUUUAUGCAAAAAGAUUCAGGCUAAAAUUUUGUACUUACAUACAGAUCAAAUAUGUAUAUUUGAAUGAGUAAAGUUAGAAUACUUUGGAUAUUUAACAAUAUAAAAAAAUUUUCUCUUGAAGCAGAGCUUUGCUGUCUCACUCUAUAUAGUUAAAUUUAUUGUCUGAAUGAAUGAAGCAGAUAGCAUGUUAUUUUUUUCUCAAAAAAAUUAAUAUAAAAAAUUUACUAUUAAUUUUUUAGUCUUUGAAUGUCAAAAGUUUAGUAGUGAAUAGUGAUAGAUGGAAUAGUAUUAAUCUAAGAAGUGGAAAGUUGAUAAUAAAUAUAUAUUAUUCAUUUAUUAUUAAUAAUAUUUUAGUUUCAUUAAUUCAGACAAAUAUACUGAACCAAUGUAUAAGUACAAAUUUCAGGUCGGAGACUUAAUUUUGAAUAUAGUAAGGUAUCCGAAUUGAGGAUAGACAUAUAGACAUCGUUGAUCUUUUUUUUUUUUAUUUUGACUAAGUUGCUUGUUAUUAUCCAGCAACCUUGUAUUAUAGAUUAAUAAUCAAUUAUAACAAUAAAAACAUAUAUUCACCGCUAUAUCUAUUUAUAUAAAAUUUAUAUUUUUAAAAUAAAAUAAUUACUUAUAUACCUCUUAAAAUUUUGAAAAUAUCUUAUUCAUUCUUUUUUUUUUCUUUCAAAUAUAUCCCUUAUGUAUUCCUCCAUUAUUCCAAAAUAUUCCUACAGUUAUCAUCCGUUAAGUUAAUUUGAAUUAAACAUAAGUUAAAUAUCUAUCCGAGUUAAAAAAAAAUAAAAAUAACUUUCUUGUCCUUAACUUAAAAAUAAAUAAAAAAUAUUGAUAAUAAUAAAAAUAUAUAUUUAAAAUGCUCAAAAAUUAAAAUAUUUUUUACACUACUUAACCUAGUUAGCUUCGCCAAGAUAUGAAGGUUUUUUUUUUUUUUUCUUUUUGUAUAUUUGGUCUGUUGCCUCCUUAGCCGUGUGCUAUUAGGAGUACGGAGCCCUCCGUGCUCCUAAACGUUUUCGAUGAUAGAGCUUCCAAAUCGACGACCGGCUCUGUUAGAUUUGAUCUAGUGUAUUUGAAGUAUCUAAAAAAUAAAUUUUAUGAUUUUUCGAUAUCAUUUACUUAGCGAUCGAAAUGGUUCAAAAUCAACGGUUGAAAAUAAAAAUAUCUCAAAAAGUGGUGAUAUAAUACUAAAAUUUUCAAUCAGAGAUAUUGAUCUUGCAGUAAAUAGUACAAAAAAUUUUCUAUCAAAAUUUUAUCUGAUUUAAUACUUUUACUCCGUUAAACUUGCAAACGAUAUAUAUCAACAUUAAAAAUUGUUGGUUUUGAACUAUUUCGAUCGCUAGGUAAAUAGUAUCCAAAAAACGUAAAAUUUAUUUUCUAGAUACUUCAAAUAUACUAGAUUAAGUCUAAUGGAGCCGAUCGUUGAUUCGAAAGCUACAUCAUCGAAAACAGUUUAGGAGCACGAAGGCCCCCGUGCUCCUAAUAGCAUACAAUACCUACUCUCUCUCUCUCUCUCUCUCUCUCUCUCUAUAUAUAUAUAUAUAUAUAUAUAUGGGUCCGGCUACUAUACUAUUAUGAGUACGAUCACCCUCGUACUUAUAAGUUGUUUUCGAUGAUAGAGCUUCCGAAUCGACGAUCUACACCGUUAAACGUUAUUUACAACAUUUAAAACUUCUAGAAAUCAAAUUUUAUAAUUUUUCGACAUCAUUUACCUUACGAUCAAGAGGUCACAAAUUUGACAAUUUUUAAUGGCCGGUAUGGUAUACUUGCUAGUUUAACGAUGUAAAAGAAUCGGAAUUUGUUGAAUUUUUGGUAGAAAAUUAUAUUCACUACAUAGAUAAAGAUCAAUAACUCCGAUCUUGAAUUGAAGAUCCGAUCAUCCUUUUUUAGGACGUCGUUCGAUUUUAACCGUUCAUUUUAUGCCACUUGAUGGACUUUAUUAUGAUUUCGAAAUUUAUGAAAUUUUUUUCUAGAAGUUUCAAAUACUCUAGAUCAUAUUUAACGAAGUAGAUCGUCGAUUCAGAAGCUCCAUCAUUGAAAACAACUUAUGAGUACGAGGCUCCAACUAGUCAUAAUAGUAUAUAGCCAUGGCCAUUAUAUAUAUAUAUAUAUAUAUUAUUAUUAUUAUUAUUAUUAUUGCCAACUUCAACGCAAAGCCAAGGGACUGAAGGUGACAAAACACAUCAAACUAAUAUACAAACUCGAUCUCAAAGCCAAAGCACGCAGCAUAUAUAAUAAUGCACGUCCCAACACUAACGUACGUGCACAUCAUUAUUCAUUAUUCAUUAUUAUUCAUUAUUCAUUAUUUUAGCUUAUUACACGCACGCUCGAGCGAGCAUUGUUUCAUAUCGCUAAGACGUCGACGUAGCUUCAUUCCUAGAUCGAACUUAUACCAUCAGACCCCGUGUCAGAGAGUUGGGCGGUUGCCUUCGAAUUCAGAAGCGGACGGAGGACAUACUGGGCGAUCCCACAUGCUCCGCGUAAUGUUCCGGAGCCCUUUUGCAGCCUUAAGUACCCGUUCUCGCCCCAUGUUUUGCCCCAUGAGUUCUUAAUUAACCAAUACUGUGUUCCGCUGCUGUCUUUCCCGUACCCUACAAUGGUGAUGGCGUGGUCAAUCCUUGUCCCGCAAGGUCCUUUAAACACGCCGCCAUUGUAAAACUGAAAGUUCUUGUUUUUCGUAUCGACGGCGGAAGUUAUCGGUUGCUGCGCCACGGCAGCCAUCAUGGUGCCUUCGUCAAACGCAGGCAGAAAUUCGUAACCAGUAAUAUAUGCUACGUUGGGUUUGCCCUUUGCGGCGCAACUGCCUUUGGUUCCCACAUAAGGGUAGCUCUUCUCAUUUGUCACACCUUUAUUAGAUAUGAUGAAUUUGUAGGCAUUCUGCACCCAACCACCUAUGCACUCGACGCUGUCGGCGCAGUCUAAAACUUCUUGUUCAGAUAGAUCUAACAAGUUUCCCUUUUUGAUCUUGUAGAGCCCUUCUACUGUCGCAACUGCACUGAACGCCCAGCAUGAACCUAUUUCAAAAUAAAACGUCGAUUCACUUCAGCUAGCCCAUGUUAAGAGAAUUUAUGUGGAUUGUUGUAGUUCAUCAGAUUCAAGAAGAAAUUCAAACAAAAAUUCAUGGAGUACUCGACCAUGCAAACCUGGAGCUGUUUUUUAACGUUUUCUUACUGUAUUGCUUACAUAUCAUUGCGUAUAAAAUGUCAAAUUCUUAUAUAUCUACGUGGCUUUCUUGAAGGUUUGAUAAAUGUGGUCCAACCUAUACUGAUUAAUUUUCUUCCGAAGAUUAAUUAAACUAUUAAAGGAAGGGUUUUAAUUUUCUCGGGCGAUUCAUCAUUUUAUCUCGUAUUAGAUUUGAAGACUUAUUAUAUGUGAUCUUAUUAUAUGCGAUAACAUGCACUCUCAUGCUUUCCAUGGGCUAAAGAUAUGAACUUUGAAAAUAAAGGUGCGGAGCUUGAUUUCAUCUUCUUGUACAAAUAAAGAUGCAUGAGAUCUAAACUCAGAACAUUAUUUUUGAAUGUUGUUUAUAAUAAUAAUUUUUCUAUAAAAAAAUUAUGUUAAAUAUAAAAAUAUUUAAACAUUGUUGUCUACAAGUUUAAGUUUUUAGAGAAUAACAAUUGUUUUGUAUUAUUUAACAAGAUAUCAGAAUAGCAAGUUCUGAGUCCGAAUUACGCCAAGCUCCCAUCAUUAUUAAUUUUUUUUAUUUAAUUCAAAUCCACAUCAUAGGAUUUGCGAAAAGUCUCGAGUUCAAGAAGUGAGAGAAGUGUAAAAUAUAAAAAUAUUUAAACAUUGUUUUCUACAAACUUAAGUUUUUAGAAAAUAACAGUUGUUUCGUAUUAUUUAACGGUUUUAGAUAUGUAGAGAAAUUUAUGAAAUUACAAUACUGUGUAAAUAUAAGUUAAUUAGUACGUAGAGAACAAUCUUUUUAUGAUCCUCUUAUAUAUGUUUGAGCUCAAUUACAUACAUACUACAACGAAUUCAUAAUUUAGCGGUAUUUACUUCGCAGCAUUUAUUUAAAUAAUGCUAAUUAAUAUAUUUAACAGCAUUACUUGAUAAGUGCCACUAGAUUUAAUAAUUUAGUAGCAAUUUACUAUUAAUGUUGCAAAAUAUAACAAAUUAGCAGCAUAAAUUAGUGAAUACUGCUGACGUUUUCAGAAUUUUAUAAAAAAUGACACUAAAUGUAAUAAAAUAAAAGUACUUAUUGCUAAAUGCGCAAUAUUUACUCCGCAAUAUUUAUUUAAAUCAUGCCAAUUAAUAUAUUUAGUAGCAUUACUUGAUAAUCGCUGCUAGAUUUAAUUAUUUAGUAUCAAUUUACUAUUAAUUAUUUAGUAUCAAUUUUAUAAAAAAUCGCAGAAUAAAUUAGUGAAUACCGCUAAAUAUAAUAAACUAGCAACACUUUUUACUAAAUAAGUCAUCUAAUUAUAUAUAAUUAUUAAUAUAUCCUUUUUAUUUAAAAUUAAAAUUUUAAAAUUAAAGUUUAAAAUUCGAACAUAUAAUUUCAAAAUUAAACUUAUAAUUUAAAAUUUAAAAUUUAAAAUCUAUAUUUUAAAUUUUAAAUUCAAAUAUUUUUAUUUUUAAUUUUUACAUUUUACAUUUUUUAAUUUUUUAAAUUUAUUUCAAUUUAAAAUUUAAAUUUAAAACUAUUAAUUUUGAAACUUAAAAUUUGAUAUGGUGAAAAUUAAAAUUUAAAUUUAGUAUUUUUAAUUUAAAAUUUUAAAUUUUAAAAAUUUUAAAUUUUUUAAAUUUUUUAAAUUUUUAUUUUUUAAUUUUUAAUUUUUUAAAUUUUUAAAUUUUUAAAUUUUAAAUUUUUAUUUUAAUAGAAGACUUAAGAUUUAAAAAAUUAAAUAUAUAUAAACUAAUAGUUACUAGCGCAAGUGGGUAAAGGAUUUGGUGGUUGGUACUCGAGGUCUCAAGUUCAAUUCCUAUUUGAUUCACAUUUUCAACAAAAUUUAUUUCUAAAAGAAAUAAUGAAGCCGGGGUAGCAUCUCAAAAAAAUUAAAUUUAAAAUAAUUUUAAAUUUUCAGUUUAUAAAAUUAGAUAUUUAUAUUAACGACAUUACAUUUAUGUGCCACUAAUAAAAAAUUAAAAUUAGUAUUUAAUCCUUUUUCUUAAUGACACUAAUAGAUUUCUAUUGACGACAUUUAUAAUAAAUGCUGCUAAUACUUUUAGCAAUAUUGGCAUAGGCAGUAUUUGGUAUCAUAUGCUGCUAAACUUUUAGCAGCAUAUGUUGAUCAAAGUUGAAACCAAGAAAUAUUUGUUACUUUCCUGAUGUUUCCGAACGUUUUCAAUGGUAGAACCCUUGAUAAAAGAAAGAGAUGCUGUGUAUGAAUCACUCACAUAUCCUCAUAAAAAAUUAUUGACUCUAGAGAUAUGGUAAUAUGGAGAAGACAAAAUUAUUUAAAGCAUGCAGCAUAAAUAAAUACCAAUAAUGAUUAAUUUUCUAGUAGUGACAGUUAAUAGGCCAAGUAUAUAUAUAUAGGAUGUGAAUUAUGAAAGAUUUAAAACUAAAUACCAUCAUAAGUCUGCUAGAAUUCAUUCCCUGCCAAUGUGUUGAAUCGCUAAUUAUCCCAAAAACGUCUAAUAUUUUGUAAAUGGUGUUUGGUGGUUUAACAAAAUUAAGACAAUUUAAGCCACGUUGCUUCCCGCAAUUUGCUAAAUUAACGUUCUACUGAAUGAAGCGGUACCAUACUAUCUUUCUCUAAAAAAAAAAAAGAAAACAAAAUUAAGACGAUUUAAUACUUUGCUGUCAAUAGUUCUUACCGCAUUCGCCUUGAUUCUUGACUUCCGUGACGGCACCUUUCUGCCUCCAAUCAAUACUAUCAGGCAGUUUGGACAAGUCUACGUCCUCAAGCGAUGCAGUUGGCUCCGAUUCAAUAUUUUGAGGGAAGAACGUACCAGCGUAUCGCGCAACGAAUUCUUCAUUUGUCAUAUCAGCGAAUUGAUUAAUGCCGAGAGUGUACGAGUUUUCGUUGCGGCUAUUGAAGGUUUCGAUAUGGUUCACGUUGUUCUUAAAGAUCUCAAAACGGAGGGACUUCUCGUCUUCACUGUCGUAAACUCGGCCAUACUGUCUCAUCCAAUCUUCGAACCUCGUCAUCAUGUGAGCAUCCGAUUGGCCGCAAGAGGCGAGUGGCGAGGACCAGACGACACAGGCAAACAACAGGAAAAAACACACAAGUUGGAAUUUGGAGGCCAUGGCACUAGAUAGCAUCGGUUUGAAGAAAUGUUUUGAACUAGAAGAGCUCUUAAUUGUUGGUGGAGGCCAUGGCACUAGAAAGCAUCGGGCUUUUAUAGAAGCUGAUGGUCUACAGUAGUUGGAGCCUCAAUGAGCUCGAGACAAUCUGAGUGUUCAUACGUAGCUAUCGAAGAUCGAAUAGAUCUGGGUGGCCGCUGUGUGGUAUGCAUGCUAACCACAAAAAUAUUAAAAAAAAAAAAAGGAACAUUUCUCCUUCUUCUUUUUUUUUUUAAUCUUUUAACACUGAUUUCUUUCAAGUAUGGAUUGUGUUUGUUGCAUUAAUUUAUUUUUUUUACUUUAUUGAUAAUUUCUUCUUUAUUAAUUACGUUGAUUUUAUAUAUAGCUCUUGGUAAUUAGCUAGCUAAUUUUCUGUUUAAAUUUCAAAAUAAAUUAUUUAGUGUGAUAACUUUUUUGUGUCGUGGAAAGGAAUGAGUUUGAUUUUGUUAUUUGAAAGAUCUUGAUAUUUAUAAUAUUGUAGAAUAGUAUAUUUCACAUGUGACAGAAUUAAUUUGUAUUAUUCCCAGAAAAAAAAAAAAAAAGUUGAAAGUCAAAUAUCAUAGCCAUUUUAAACAUUUUAUCGCGCUAUUCUCAUCUGUUAAAUACUGCAAGCUUUAUAAAUAAAUCGAAUGGAUAUCUUAAGUAAGAUGUUCCAACAUCGGUAAUAAAGCAGCUAUUGAAAGAAAUUAAACAAAAACAAAAACAACAAUACGAGCAGAAAAAGAAGAAAAAGUAUACUAAUAAAAUAAAAGAUGUAUUUGCUGUCCCAUUUUACUUUUCAUUUGUCAAUACUAUUUUUCAGACAACUGUAAAGAAAGAAAUAGAGGGGGAAAGCCUUCAUGAAUGGAAGAGUAAGCGAGUUUUUAUUACUAUAACGACUGAUAUAUAGACAUAUAAGAGGGAGAGAGAAGGAGAGAGGAAAACUCAAAACCACAGCACAGUAAGAGAGGAAGAAAGAGGAAAAAAAGAAAGAAGGCAAAUCCGAUGAUUAUAUUGUUACUUAUUAAUUCCUGCGACGGAAUGUGACGGCGAUAGGUCAAGGUGGUAGGAUACGUUACAAAAUCGACGGAAUCAAAAUUGUUCUGUGCACCAGAUGUAUAAUUAAUGUAUCUUAUACGCCAAACUUUUAAACCCUAUUAUAAAUAUUUAAACUCUAUAAGCUUUUAUACAUAGAUUUUUUCUAUAGCGUAGUCUAUGUAUAUCAAAUUAUAUUUUAAUUUUAUGAUAUUAAUUUUUUUAAAAAAAUAAGUGACUCGUGUAAUGCACCAAUAGAACGAGCAGUGGCGAUAAUUUAUUAUAAUUGAAGAGAAAAAAGAAUUGUGGAAGAGAUACGAAAGAGAUUAACGAAAACUAAAUGAGAGAGGGGAAGAGGAGAAUUCGGUUGAAAAAAGAGUGUAUAUUACACAAAUAGUACCUAAACUUUUUAUCAUAUUUUUAACUGGGCCCUCAACUUAUUUUUUUUGUCAAUUGAGUCCCCAAUCUGUAGAAAUUUUUUUCAAUUGGGUCUCUACCGUAAAUCUUUCAAUUGACAGAAGUCCACGCGUGGUCGCUGACAUGAUCCUGAGUUGGCACAAUUUUAAAUUAAAAAAAUUAAAUUUUUUUAUUUAAACUUUUAUACUUAUUUAUAUAAAGUGAUUAGCAAAUUUAAUGGCUCUAUUAGUCUAACAUUUAAUCGAAUAUGAUUUUAUUUAAUAAGAAACAAUCAAAUUUAUCAAAUAAUAAAAUUAUCGACUAAUUUUUGCUAAAAUCUCUUUUUUAUUAUUAUCGUUUUAAAUUCAAAAAACUCAAAAGGUAAAAAAGCUCUCAAUCAGAAAAACAAAAUGCUAUUUGUACAUUGAAAAAUGUAUAUAAAAUUAAAUCUUAUACCUCCUUAUUUAAGAGUCUAUAAUUAAUUCUUUUUUUUUAGAUUUUUAAUAUUAAAAAAAUUAAACUGCUUUUAAAUCCUAGGUAGGAGAUCUAAUUCAAAAUCAGAAAAAUGAUGGAGACUAUAUUUAAUAGAUUACGAGAAAACAUGGGCCUCUCAAAUUCGAGUGAAUGUGGUGCCUCCGCGUCACUUGCAACUGAGGUUUUCAUCAUGUUAAAAUAAAAAAUAAAUAAAAAUUAAAUGGAUAGUUACACGCCAUUUGUAUAAUUAGCACAGCAAGGUACGGCAACGUUAGCGACCUCAAUGAUUGAGGCAAUUAAUGCCUUUUAUUUUUCAAUAUUUACUUAAUAGUACGAUGCCAACAUAUAUAACUUGAUCUCUCUUUCUUUCUCCUAAUCGUAUACUUUUUUUAUGGGUCAAAAUAUAUUAAAAGCUUUUGCUUAUAGAGUCUUUUAUAAUAUAUUUUUCUACUAUAAAAAUUUUAUUUAAUAAUUUUUUAAAUUUUUUAUUUAUCUUAGGUGAGCUUUUUUAUUUGACUAAAUCAAAAAUUCUACUAAAUUUAAUAGCUAUGUUAAUUUUAUUUACUAAAAAACUAAAAAAUUAGUGUUAGAUUUAGUAAAAUUUCUAAGUUAUUUUAAUAUAAUAAUAUAAAUAAAAUAAUUAAAAGUUAAACAUCUAAAUAUAAAAAAAAAUUAAAGUUCAUACUUUUACAUUAUUUAUUUAAUUAAUAAUUUUUUAAUAAAAAAUUUUUAAUUAGGAAGAGUUUUGUUUAUUAUUUAUUAUUAAAGUUCCUAUUUAAAUAUAUUUUGAACCCCCUCAAGAUUGAAUCCUAGUUUUGUCCUGAAUAUAUAUAAUAGUAUGCAUACAAUACUAUAUAAUAAAAUUGUAGAGUAAUUCUUGUGUGCUAUUAAAAGUACGGAAGCCUCCAUACACUUAAACGGUAUUCAAUGAUGGGACUUCCAAAUCGACGAUUUGCUUUGUUAAACUUGAUCUAGCUUAUUUGAAAUAUCUAAAAAAUAAAUUUUAUAAUUUUUCGAUAUCAUUUACCUAACGACCGAAAGGGUUUAAAAUUAAUAAUUUUUAAUGAUUGAUGUAUGUCGUUUGCAAUUUUAAUGGUGUAAAAGUAUUUAACUUAGAUAAAAUUUUGAUAAAAAUUUUAAACUAUGUACUACAAGAUCAAUAUCUCUGAUCGAAAAUUUUAAUACUAUAUUAUCACUUUUGUAAGAUUUUUAUUUUCAGUCGUUGAUUGAACACUUUCGAUUGCUAUAUAUGUAAAUGAUAUCGAAAAUUAUAAAAUUUAUUUUUUAAAUAUUUCAAAUACGCUAGAUCACAUCUAACGAGCCUGAUCGUCAAUUCGGAAGCUCCAUUGUCGAAAACUGCUUAGGAGCGCGGAGACCUUAGUGCUGCUAAUAGCACACAAGAUCUACUUUAGAAAUAUAUAAUAUUUAUAAAUAAAAACAUAAAAUAUGUAUAAUAAUUUUUUACCCUCUCUCUCUCUCUCUCUCUCUCUCACACACACACAUAUAUAUAUUUUAUAAAGUCUUGCUAUGGUUCUUGUAAAAGCACCAAGUAUUUGUUGCUUGUAAUAUUUUUACCAAUAGAUCAAUAUUUUUGAUCAUUUUCAUCUGUUAGAUUAUAUUAUUCAAUCAACCAUCCACUCAACCCUAUGGGGCCCAUAUUAUUAACAUUCUAACAGCAUAUCUCUUAAUCUAAUGGCGAAAAAUCUACAAGCAUCAAUAACUUAUAUUUUUAAAAGCAUAGGAGCUCAAUUCUCCUUUUAUUAUCUUAUAUAUAAUUAUAUAUAUAUUAAUAUAUAUAUAUUAUGAUAUAUAUAUAUAAAUAUAUAUAUAUAUAGAGAGAGAGAGACAGAUGAAGAGAGCUAGGUGGUAUACUAUCGUAGCACGAAGAGCCUCCGUUGCUACCAAUUGUUUUCAAUGAUGCGCCUUCCAAAUCGAUGAUCAGCUCCGUUAGAUUGAUCAUUACACUAUUGAAAACUAUUUGGAAACUAAAUUUAUAAUUUUCGACAUAUACCUAUCAAACGAGUAGUCUAAAAUGAACGGCUGAAAAUAAAAAUCUCAUAAAAAAUUAUAAUAGAAGACUUGAAUUAUAAUCGAAGUACGAUCUUACUCUAAAUAGUAAAAAAAAAUUCUAUAAAAGUAUCAUCUGAUAUUGGAUUGUUUUACACCGUUAAAUUUACAAAUGCAUCACAUCUUACCAUUAAAUUGUCAAUUUUGAGACCUUUUAAUCACUAGCCAAAUAAUAUCAAAAAAUUAUUAAAAUUUAGUUCAAAUAUUUUUGAAUAGUGUACAUCAAGUCUAACGGAAUCGAUCGUCGAUUGGAAACAUCAUCAUUGAAAACAUUGUAGCACGAGACUCGAUGUACCCAUUAUGGUAUACCAUGCCUGUCAUAUCGUAUAAUUAAUAACUUAUAUUAUAUAUAUAUAUAUAUAUAUAUAUAUAUAAAAGAGAGAGAGAGGGAUCACCCGGUCCACGAGAACCGGGCUUUAUGGGUCCGGCUUGUGAGCCGCGAUUUUUUGGAGGAAGUUUUCGUUUUCCGUCCAUUGUCAGCGGAAAAUGAUAACUUGAUUUUUCAAAAAAAAUUGUAAAAAAAAAAAUUUCAGCAAAUAUUUUUACGAGAAUCAAACAUGAAAAUUUUUUUUUUUAACUGAAAACAAUUUUCGAAAUAAUUUUACACGCAAUCAAAUACAUCCUAAGUAAAAAUUAAAGAAAACACGUCUUUUCCUCCACAUCUUGUCAUGUUUCAAAUCGUUUUUCGGCAACCUCUGCUAUUCAGCCACAUGAGUUUUGCGAUUGAGCUUUCGAUUGAUAAUAAGUAACACUGAAAUUCCCGCGCGAAGCUACAGAUAUAAAUUUUUUUUUAAUAAAUUUUAGUUUUUUAUUUUUUUACAUAAUUUUAUAAGUCUAAUUAUUAAUUAAAUAAAAGUUAUAUAAAAAUAAUUUAAUAGUUAAUUUUAUUUAAAUAAAAUUUAUUAAAACGACAAUUUAUUUUAUAAACAUUUAUGUGAAAAAAGAUUUGAGAUAAAUAUAUCAAAAUAAUUUUUAAAAAAAUAAAUAGAAAGAAAAUAAAAUAAUGGAAGAAUUUGUUUAAUAAAAUUAAUUUUAUAUAUAUACACACACACUAUAUUUCUAAAAUCUUACUCCUCAAAUUUAAAUUAUGUAAUUUUUUAUACAUCGAUCAAAUUAAAUUUUAUUAUGCGAUUUAUUACAUGUAUAUUAAUAUUAUUAAUUAAUUAUAUUAUAUACAAUGAAUUAUUAAUAUAAUUAAUUAAUUAAUUUCAUAGAGUUUAGGAAUUUAAAAUUUUAAAUUUUAAAAUUUAAAAUUUAAAAAUAAAUAUUAUAAAUUAAAUUUAAAAUUUAAAAUUUUAAAAUUUAAAAGUAUCAAAAUUUUAAAAUUUGAUAUAUAUAUAUAUAUAUAGAUAUAGAGGGAGAGAGAGAAAAGGGGGAUUUGAUGGUACACGUGUCCUCCCAAACCCUCCUUUAAUGUAGAAAAGAAAAAUAGAAAAUAAAUGUGAUCCAAAUAAUUGGGGUGAAAUAUAUAUCAACUUUAUGUUAUUAAUAAAUGAAAGUAAAAUAGAUAAUGACCAAUAACAAUAGAGCUAUUAAAUCCAAUAAUAGGUAAAGAAAGAAUAAAAAUUUGAGAAAUGUGUAUUUUUAAAUUGUCUGUUGUUGAAGGGGUAUCAUACAUUUUUGCCUGUUUGCCUGUUACUCCCUUAUUGGCUCACGUGUAUGUACCAAAGCCACAAAGGAAACGAUCCGAAAUUAUAAUUCAAGAUCCUAUUUUAGUUGUAAAUGAAAUAAACGAACGGAAACAUGCUAUUUAUCUCUUAAAAAAAAACAAAAGAAAUUAUAAUUCAAGAUCAUCCGAUAUCUUAUUAUAGAAACUAAUUAAGUGCGCCCAAUAUAUAAACAUAAUUUUUACAAUUUAAUUUUUCAAAGAAUCGAAUUUAUUUACUUGUUUUAUUAGCUUGUUCUUUUGAGAGAAGAAGCUCUUAGGCUGGUGACUUUACUUGUUGUAACACUAAAUAUUAGAAAAAAUGAAAUUAAUGUGUGUUUCUAUAGCUCACUCAUCAUAUCAUCAUAAUUUUUUUUAAAAAAAAUUAUAAUUUUUUUUAAAAAAAAAUUUGAUUGACCUUGAGAUAUAAAUAAUAUGAUACAACUAUCACGCAGAAGAUCAGUGAAAUAGUACUAGUUGUUUCAGGUACUCUCGCUAACAAGGCUUAGUCAGGUCCCAUGAUUGUAAUAAGAGAGUACCUGCUGCAAGUAGAAUCAAAAUGAUCGGUGUUGAACUUGUAAGAUAUUUAGGACACUCACCAUCACAAAAUUUAUGUGAUAUAUAUUGGUGGUAACAUUCUAAAUUUUCGUAUUCUUGUCCAUUCCAAUUUCCCCAGACCCUAGUUAACAUUUUUCAUCUGACAUUACAGUAAGGGUGCGUUUGGUUCGCAUUAUGAAAGAUUACUAGGAAUAAAAGAUAUCCGAAAAUCUUAUUCAUAUUCAUUCUAUUACUAAGAAUGUGGAAUUCCUAUGUUUGGUUCGCACGGUAAUAUUAAUUAGCCAUGUUAUUUAAUAUUACAAAAAAUAUACAAUUUAUUUAUUUAUUUAUUUAUUUAUUUUUAAAUAAUGUUACUAAAAGUUUCAACAUCUUUUUAGAAAAAAGGGAGAGAGAGUAUAAGUUAGAGAUAGAGAGCAUAAUUAAAAAAAUAGAAAGAAAAAUAUAGUCGAAAUUAGAGGGAGUGAGAGAGUUGAAAUUUUAGAAAGAGAGAGAGAGAGAGAGCUUAGUUUAGAGAGAGAAAAAAAGUUGAAUUUUAGAGAGAAAAAUAAGUUUAGAGAGAGAUAUAAGAUUAGAGUGUAACGAAAAAUAAUAUCAAUUAGCCGGCGGGUAGGAAGAAAGAAAGAGAUUAGACAUAUUAUGAUUACCCCAAUCCAUUAAUAAAAGGAUACCCACCCUCCCUCAAGGGAAUGAGAUUAGUACUUUGGGGUGAAUUUUAUUCCCAAGUGAAUCCAAUAUUACCAACUAGAUUACUUAGUGCAUUUAGCCAAACACCGUCAUAUUUUUUUCUUCUCAUUGGAUUACUAGGAAUCUUUAAAAGAUAGCGCGAACCAAACGCACCCUAAGUCCUAAAAAUUGUACGUACUUCCGUAAUUAGAAAUGAUAAUUUUUUCGAAAAAUUCGGAUCCAACGGGGAUCAGUUUGAAUGGAGCGGAGAUGGAAAGAAUUUGAUUUCCGUGAAAAUGAGAAUGAGAAAAAAAAUUUCUCCAGCUUGCGAAAAUACUACUCCCGGCCCGUUUCACAAAUUUCCAACCCUCACAAAAUAACAUAAUAUAUUAUUGUAUAAUUAUUAAUUUAUUUAUAGAUAUAGAAUUAAUGCUAACUUUAAUACAUUUAAUAUGCUUUUUAAUUAAACUAAAUAUUUUAAAUAUAUUUAAUUUUUUACACAGCAUAUUAGUUAAAUAAUAUUUAAUUAUUAAAUAGUUUUAAUAAUUUGGUACGUCAUACUGUAAUUUGACAAUCAAUAAACUCAAUACUUUGAAUCAAUUUUAAAUUAGUUUGAGUUAAAAUUAUGUCAAAUUUGAAAUGUAUAUUUUAAUGUAUUAUAUUUUUUUAAAAAAAUCGGCUAGGUCUACAAGGCAACGACGCUUUAUUAAAGAGCUUCAAAGUAUUAAGAUCCUUGUUUUUGUACGCUUUAUUAAAGAGUUGUAACACUAAAUAUUAGAAAAAAUGAAAUUAAUGUGUGUUUCUAUAGCUCACUCAUCAUAUCAUCAUAAUUUUUUUUAAAAAAAAUUAUAAUUUUUUUUAAAAAAAAUAUGAUUGACCUUGAGAUAUAAAUAAUAUGAUACAACUAUCACGCAGAAGAUCAGUGAAAUAGUACUAGUUGUUUCAGGUACUCUCGCGAACAAGGCUUAGUCAGGUCCCAUGAUUGUAAUAAGAGAGUACCUGCUGCAAGUAGAAUCAAAAUGAUCGGUGUUGAACUUGUAAGAUAUUAGUUUUUGUACGUAUCUUAAAAAAUUAAUUUUGAGAUUAUUUUAUAGAUCAAUCCGAGUAUGUUUCAAAUUCGCCGUAGAGAAAACAAUCCAAAUUAUCUUUAUACAAAAGAAAAUGAUACAUAUACACCAGUAUAUAAGUGUAAAUCUCACCUCCCAUGCAUUUUAAAAUUUACAAAAUUUUUAAAAUUUUUAAUGUUAAAAAAUAAAACAAAAAAAAACUACUAAGACAUGCAGAAAAUAAGAGGCUUUGAAUGAGUAGAAUUUAAGAUAUACAUCUAAUCUAAAAAUAUGCACAUAGCAUUACUCUUAUGCACCGACCGUCUCUAACGCAAGUGAUAAAAGCCUUGGUAAUUGGUAUACGGGGUCUUAAUUUCGAAUCUUAGUUGAUUUACAUUUUCAGCUAAAUUUACAAUUUUGCUACUAUAAGUUUAAAAUGAAGUCAAUCUAAAAAAUAAAAUAAAAAUAAAAAAAUUUAAGAUUAAUUUUUGUAAAAUAUGUAUAAAAACUAAAAAUAUUAUUAGAGAGUCCCCACUCAAGUUGUCUUUCGUUUCUGCACCGUUGGCCUCAUUGUACAUAAAUAGUAAAUAAUUAAAAAAGAAAAAGCUAUUUCAGACUAUUAAUAUGCAGCAGGGCGCGUUUUGGAUUGUUCAGGGACCGACCACCUCAAUCAGUAGAUGUUGGAGAUAAGCUUGCAUGUGGUGACACGAUUGUGAUCGCAAUUUUUGGGGGAUAAAAUCAUAAAAAUGUAUGGAAACCCUCUCAACUAUCUACAAUUUUGAAAUCGCCCCCCAUUAGAUUAGAUUGAUUUUUUCUUUAAAAAAAUCGACAUCGCCUUUAACUUCUGGUUAAUUUUAUAAAAUUAAAUGAGCUGAAUAAAAAGAAUAUAUAAUUAUUCGGAUUUAUCAAUAAAAAUUAAUUAAUAUAAUUAUCUUUUGUAAAUUAAAUUUAAAUAAUUAAUAAAAAAAACUAGUUGAAGAUAGUAAAAUUCUUAACUUAACAAAAUAAAAUGUCUUGAUGUAUCAAUUUCAAAAUAGUCUUACAUAUAGCUGAGAUUGUCUCCAUACAAUUUUUAUUGAGAUCUUUAAUUAAUUUUUAAAUUUUGAUAUAUAUGCUUUUUCCGAAUUGAGCAAAUUUAGUAAAAUAAAUAACUAAUUAAUAGAAGACGGGAAUUUAAUAGAAUUCUUAACUGCACUAACCAAAAUACCAAUUAAUACAGUAAUUAAAAGAAAAAAAAGGUAAAGUUGUCAAUUUUAAUUGCACUAGAAAUAAUACUUGUAUAGACAAAAACAAAAUAUGAAUCUAAUAAUUAGCUAAAGUACAAAACGAAAAAACUAUAUAUUUAAUUAAGGCAUCGUCUGGUCCUGCCGCGUGUGCUGCGAUACCAAUCACGCACCACAUAUAUAUGUAGAAUACAAACGAGCACGAUCGUAAAUCUACCGAUGAAGUCCCUCUAGAAUAAUAGGUUAAUGGAGAACAUGGUUUCUACGUUUCUUUCUUUUAUUUUUUUAUUUUUUUUUAUUUUUUUUCUUCAUUUUAUGUGAAAUCGCCUGCAUAUUUAUAAUUUCUUUUAUUUUCUUAUUUUCUAUCUUCUUCUUUUUUUCAUUUUAUGUGAAAUCGUCCGCAUAUUUAUAAGGGAUUUCAAAAUCCUAGUAGAUACGUAAGAGAUAAGAUAAAAUCGGUUAUUAAUUAUUAUCCUAAUAUGAUUAGAAUUUAUCUGUAAUUAGCUUUUCAAUUUAAAAACGAGAUUAAUUCUAAUCCAAUUAGACAACUUAAUAAUCGGCGGAUCGAGCCCGAUCAUGAACGCACCCGAUUCGAUUUAACCAAAUGCCAACAAGUAGCACACUAUUUCGUCGUAGUCGUGGCUUGUGCUUGGCCGUAUCCAGCCGGUUAAUGUGAUUGUGGCCCUCUUAAAUUCACGUAUAAUUCGCGAAUUAUACACGUAUUUUUCAAAAACCGAAUAAAACGCCCGUAUCAGUAUUUUUCAGAAAAAUUUGAAAAAAAACACGUUUUUUUAUCAAAAAUAAUUAUCCGCGAAUUAUUCACGAUUCGCGAACGAUUCACCUAAAAAAACGACGGUGGCGGACUUGCGGGUAGCUUCGUUGCCGCUCUCGUCGCCAACUCAUCCGUGUCCUCUUCGUCGUCCUUCUCCUCUGCCGCUCUCGUCGCCGAACUCGCGAGUAUUUGGAUUUAUGUAAAACCCCUCCGGAAAAAAAAUUUUCAGUCCCCAUGUCUGGUUGUCCGUAAAAAUUUUUUUGGUGUUCUUAUUGCAGUCGGCGGAGGAAGACAAAGAAAAAAAUUGAGGCGUAUGUGAGGCUAUAGUCGCGCCACGAGGCCACUUCAGCCUCGUGGACCGCAUGCUUUCAUUAGUCAUAUAUAUAUAUAUNNNNNNNNNNNNNNNNNNNNNNNNNNNNNNNNNNNNNNNNNNNNNNNNNNNNNNNNNNNNNNNNNNNNNNNNNNNNNNNNNNNNNNNNNNNNNNNNNNNNNNNNNNNNNNNNNNNNNNNNNNNNNNNNNNNNNNNNNNNNNNNNNNNNNNNNNNNNNNNNNNNNNNNNNNNNNNNNNNUUUUAGAAUAAAAUUAUAAUUUAAUAAAAAAUAACGAAAGAUAGAAAAAAUUAUAGGAGAAAAAAAUAUGUUACAUAGAAAUCGGACCCCUUUGUAUCCUCAUUUAGGGCAUUCACUACUAACACCGAUACUUUCGUGAAAUAUCAUAGCGCCUUCAACCCUUUUUCAGCAAAUCCUAUAUAUUACAAAUAUAAGUGGUCGACAUCGAGGGAGAAAGGUUCGAGGCUAGGGUUAGAGUUCGACUCACUCGACGUUGACGGUGAGAGCGAGGGCGGUGCGCUUGCGGGCUUGAGGGGAGCAGACGUAGUAGGCGAGGUCGUUGUCGAGAACGCGAUUUGCCGUGCCCACAGGCUUCAUGGGCAACGAUUCUUAGAAAAUAGAAACUAAUGAAAGGGAAGUCGAAGUAGCGACGUUACAAAGAAGAAAUUAUGAGAUGGAAAGUCGAAGAGACAUACGUUAUGAAAAAAAAUUAAUAAUACGAAAAGCGGAAGAGGUAAACGUUACGGGAAAGGAAAGCCGAAGAGACCGCUUAGCCAUUUGGUUCAAAAGAAGGGCAAGUGAGGGUGAAAGAUAGGCUGUCACGUGGCAAGAUUAGGAAAAAUAAUGUUAAGGUAUAGAUUAUGUAGUAGGUACAACACAUUAUUUAUAACCAGUUAGUUAUAUUUUUCUUUUGAGAGAAAAAUAUAAUAAAAUUAUUUUUUAAAAAAUUAUGAUGAAAUGGAUAAACUACAAAAUAGUAAUUUGAUUAGUUGUAGACAUCAUAUCAGUAAUAUAAUUAUUGCAUUCUAGACUUUUUCCUAAUUUGUCGCGUGCAUUUGUUGUUGGAGUACGAGUGAUUGUAUGGUUCACUAAUUUACAUAGUAGCCUAUCGCUUGUAUUUUGCGGGUGUGUACUACUAUGACCAGUAAGAAAUCCAGCUAGUAAAAUUGUGUCGCUUAUUAAUUGUCCUAUCAAAUUGUUCUUAAUGAUAGGAAUUCCGAAUCGAUAAUCGGAGCCGUUGAAGUUGAUUUAGAGUAUUUAAAAUAUCUAGAAAUUAAAUUUUACAAAUUUUAAAAAUUAUUUACAUGGUGAUCAAAGUGUCAUAAAAUCGACAAUUUUUGACGACUAUAUGAGCCGUUUGCUUGUUUAACGGUGUAGAGUAAUCCAAAUUACUUGAAUUUUUGACAGAAAAUUUUUUAUACUAUUUAGAUAAUGUUUGAUAACUCUGAUUAUGAAUUAAGAAAGUCUAACCUCUAUUUUAAGAAGAUUAUUCAUUUAUAACCGUUUAUUUUUUCGACUAUUCGAUAGACUUGAUAAUGAUUUUUAAAUAUUACAAAAUUUGAUUUCUAAAUAUUUCCAAUUGUAUAGAUCAAUUUCAACAAUGCCGAUCAAUUAUCAAUUUGAAGUUCCGAUCAUUCAAAUCGACUUAAUAGGACAAUAUCCUCAAUCCUAUUAAUAGGAUAGUAGAUGGACUCCAUAUGUAGAGAGGAAGAGAUCAAUUGAGCUUGUAUAUUUUUAAAAGUACCAAAUUAUUAGUGCUUAUAGAUUUUCGGCCCUUAAAUGAAAGAAUGUGCAGUUAGGAUGAUAAUAAUUCUCUAGAAUUAAAUAGAUGGUUGAUGAAAUAGCAUAAUAUAAGGGAUAAAAUUGGUGAAAAGAAUAGAUAUAACUAUGAGAAACUUAUUAGGAACAAAUACUUAGUGUUUUUAAAAACACCAUAGCCGAACUUAUAUAUACAUAUGUGUGUGCGUGAGCGCACGCGAACGUGACGUAGCAAUAAUGUCAAUAUAUCAAAACUAUGUUGUGCAUUGAAUCGGGCUUGUUGGAUUCCAUGCAUGUAAGAAAUUGUAGUAGAGGAAGGUUUAAAAUGCUAAUGUUACUUCCUUCGCCACAGUAAUAGAGAGCGGAUGGUUUUGUCUAAACCAUCCCAACUCUAAAACAAAUUUAAGAAAUUUCUCCUCAAGUGACGUAAUGCUAUGAGCCUAAAUUAGGCAAUUCUUUUUUAAAAAAAAUUAAGGCUAAAAAUCGUUUUUGAAGAUCUUCUAACGCUCCAAACUCGCGGUGGAUCAAACUACAAAUGAGCACGAUCACAAAUUCACCGUUCAAGUCCCUCUAGAAUAAUAGGUUAAUGGAGAAUGUGGUUUCUACGUUUCUUUCUUUUAUUUUCUUUUAUUUUCUUUUUAUUUUCUUUAUUUUAUGUGAAAUCGCCCGCAUAGUUAUAAUUUCUUUUAUUUUCUUAUUUUCUUUCUUUUUUUUUCAUUUUAUGUGAAAUCGCCCGCAUAGCUAUAAGGGAUUUCAAAAUCCUAAUAGAUGCGUAAGAAAUAAGGCCAAAUCGAUUAUUAAUUAUUAUCCUUACCUCUAAUUAACUUUUCAAUUUAAAAGCGAGAUUAAUUCUAAUCUAAUUAGAUAACUUAAUAACCAUCGGAUUGAGCUCGAUCAUGAGUGCAUCUGAUUCGAUUUAACCGAAUGCCAACGAGUAGCACACUGUUUCGUCGUAGUCGUGGCUUGUGCUUGGUCGCAUCCAGCCGGUUAAUGUGAUCGUGGCCUGAAUUGACACGACCCGUAUCACGGUAUCAGCUAUGCCAGCCAGGCUGGACAUCGCAGUGCUUUUUCUUUCCUUUGAUAUUCUUUUAUUUUUUUUCCUUUCUAUCUCAAAUAUAAUGUAAACUAGUUAGAGUUUAAAUAUUUAAAAAAAAAAAAUUUAAGAAGAAAAACUUAUUUACUUAAUAGAAAACAAUACAUAUUUUAUAAACUUAAUAUUAAAAAAGUAAAAUUACAAAAUUUAAAAUAAAUCAUGAAACUAGCUGGCUGUGAUUUAGUAAUGGAGUGUUAUUAAUUUGUUUCUACCUAAGUGAUAAAUAAGGGCGUGCAUGUGCGGAUGUUGCCUAGAUGAGCAAUUAUCCUGCUUGCUUUUACCCUGUGGAGGAAAUUAAUCUAUUGCUAGUGUAGGAAACCGCGCGAUGCUGCGGAUAUAAUCAUAUUUGAUUAAAUUUAAUAAUAUAAAAAAUAUUUUAAAAUUUUUAGAAUAAAAUUAUAAUUUAAUAAAAAAUAACGAAAGAUAGAAAAAAUUAUAGGAGAAAAAAAUAUGUUACAUAGAAAUCGGACCCCUUUGUAUCCUCAUUUAGGGCAUUCACUACUAACACCGAUACUUUCGUGAAAUAUCAUAGCGCCUUCAACCCUUUUUCAGCAAAUCCUAUAUAUUACAAAUAUAAGUGGUCGACAUCGAGGGAGAAAGGUUCGAGGCUAGGGUUAGAGUUCGACUCACUCGACGUUGACGGUGAGAGCGAGGGCGGUGCGCUUGCGGGCUUGAGGGGAGCAGACGUAGUAGGCGAGGUCGUUGUCGAGAACGCGAUUUGCCGUGCCCACAGGCUUCAUGGGCAACGAUUCUUAGAAAAUAGAAACUAAUGAAAGGGAAGUCGAAGUAGCGACGUUACAAAGAAGAAAUUAUGAGAUGGAAAGUCGAAGAGACAUACGUUAUGAAAAAAAAUUAAUAAUACGAAAAGCGGAAGAGGUAAACGUUACGGGAAAGGAAAGCCGAAGAGACCGCUUAGCCAUUUGGUUCAAAAGAAGGGCAAGUGAGGGUGAAAGAUAGGCUGUCACGUGGCAAGAUUAGGAAAAAUAAUGUUAAGGUAUAGAUUAUGUAGUAGGUACAACACAUUAUUUAUAACCAGUUAGUUAUAUUUUUCUUUUGAGAGAAAAAUAUAAUAAAAUUAUUUUUUAAAAAAUUAUGAUGAAAUGGAUAAACUACAAAAUAGUAAUUUGAUUAGUUGUAGACAUCAUAUCAGUAAUAUAAUUAUUGCAUUCUAGACUUUUUCCUAAUUUGUCGCGUGCAUUUGUUGUUGGAGUACGAGUGAUUGUAUGGUUCACUAAUUUACAUAGUAGCCUAUCGCUUGUAUUUUGCGGGUGUGUACUACUAUGACCAGUAAGAAAUCCAGCUAGUAAAAUUGUGUCGCUUAUUAAUUGUCCUAUCAAAUUGUUCAUAAUGAUAGGGAUUUCGAAUCAAUAAUCGGAGCCGUUGAAGUUGAUUUAGAGUAUUUGAAAUAUUUAGAAAUUAAAUUUUAAAAAUUUUAAAAAUUAUUUAUAUGGUGAUCAAAGUGUCAUAAAAUUGACAAUUUUUGACGGCCUAGUAGAGUAAUCCAAAUUGCUUGAAUUUUUGACAGAAAAUUUUUUAUACUAUUUAAAUAAUGUUCGAUAACUCUGAUUAUGAAUUGAGAAAGUCUAACCUCUAUUUUAAAAAGUUUAUUCAUUUAUUACCGUUUAAUUUUUCGACUCUUCAAUAGACUUGAUAAUGAUUUUUAAAUAUUAUAAAAUUUAGUUUCUAAACAUUUCUAAUUGUGUAGACAAUUUCAACGGUACCGAUCGAUUAUCAAUUUGAAGAUCCAAUCAUUCAAAUCGACUUGAUAGGACAAUGUCCACAAUCCUAUUAAUAGGAUAGUAGAUGGACUCUAUACAUAAAGAGGAAGAGAAUUGAGCUUGUAUAUUUUUAAAAGUACCAAAUUAUUAGUGCUUAUAGGUUUUCGGCCCUUAAAUGAAAAGAUGUACAGUUAUGAUGAUAAUAAUUUUCUAGAAUUAAAUAGAUGGUUGAAGAAAUAGCAUAAUAUAAGAGAUAAAAUUGGUGAAAAGAAUAGAUAUAACUAUGAGAAACUUACUAGGAACAAACACUUAGGUAGUGUUUGGUUCGGGAACAAGGGGGGGAAUAAGCCCUUAUUCCCCCCUUUGUUCCCAAACGUAAUGUUUGGUUCCCGGGAACAGUAGUUUCUGGGAAUCUGGAACUAGCUGGUAUAAAGCUGGAACUGCUGUUCCACCCGUUUUCUGGAACAAGCUUGUUCCUUGAUGAGAACAAGAUUAAUUAAAAUCUAAAUUUAAUUUUAAUGGCAGUAAAUUAUUAAUUAAUCUAAUUAAUAUAUUUAAAUUAUUAUUUAUUACUUUAAUAAUUAAAUAAUUUAUUAUUUAUAAUUAAAUAUUAAUAAUUAGAUAAUUAUUAUUAUUAAUUUAUUAUUUAUAAUUAAUUAUAAAUAAUUAAUAAUAUUCAUUAUUUUUUUAUUAAUAAUUAUUAUUCUUAAUGACAAUCGAUAUUAUUAUUAAUUUAUUAUUUAUAAUUAAUUAUUAAUAAUUAAUAAUUAUUAUUAUUUAUUAUUAAUUAUUAAUAAUUUUUAUUCUUAAUAAUUAGAUAAUCGAUAUUAUUAUUAAUUUAUUAUUUAUAAUUAAUUAUUUAUAAUUAAUAAUAAUUAUUAUUUAUUAAUAAUUAUUAAUAAUUUUUAUUCUUAAUAAUUAGAUAAUCGAUAUUAUUAUUAAUUUAUUAUUUAUAAUUAAUAAUUUAUAAUUAAUAAUAAUUAUUAUUUAUUAAUAAUUAAUUAAUAAUUCUUAUUCUUAAUAAUUAGAUAAUGGAUAUUAUUAUUAAUUUAUUAUUUAUAAUUAAAUAAUAAUAAUUAUUAUUAUUUAUUAAUAAAUAUUAAUAUUAAUUAUUAUUAAUAAUUAGAUAAUCAAUAUUAUUAUUAAUUUAUUAUUUAUAAUUAAUUAAUAAGAAUAAUUAAUUAUUAUUAUUAUUUAUUAAUAAUUAAUAAUAAUAAUUAUUAUUAUUAAUUAGAUCAUCCAUAUUAUUAAUUUAUUAUUUAUAAUUAAUUAUUAAUAAUUAAUUUUUUAUUUAUUUUUAAGUAAUAUUUUUAUUACUAUUAAUUACAUAAUAUAAUUUUAAUUUCAAAUUAUAACUCUUAUUCCUCUUGUUCCAAUCUAACCAUCCAAACACUAUUUACCUUAUUCCUAGGAACAACCCAAUUUUCAUCCAAACGCAAAAUUGGUCUAAUUCCUGCUUAUACCUGAACUUGUACCUAUCCCUAGAACUAGCAGUUCUUACUUAUACCCGAAUCAAACGCAGCCUUAGUGUUUUUAAAAACACCAUAGCCGAACUUAUAUAUACAUAUGUGUGUGCGCGAGCGCACGCGAACGUGACGUAGCAAUAAUGUCAAUAUAUCAAAACUAUGUUGUGCAUUGAAUCGGGCUUGUUGGAUUCCAUGCAUGUAAGAAAUUGUAGUAUAGGAAGGUUUAAAAUGCUAAUAUUACUUCCUUCCCCACAUGCAGUAAUAAAGAGCGGAUGGUUUUGUCUAAACCAUCCCAACUCUAAAACAAAUUUAAGAAAUUUCUCCUCAAGUGACGUAAUGCCAUGAGCCUAAAUUAGGCAAUUUUUUUUAAAAAAAUUAAGGCUAAAAAUAGUAAUAAAUGUUAAUAAAUGGAAAGUAAAAAAAAACACACUCCAUAUGUAAAAGAAGAAAUGAGAAACAAUAAUUUUAUCUCCCAAGCCCUAAUUUAUCAUUGGGUGGUAUACGCAAUUUUUCAAAACGAUUGAGGAUAAAUCAGUUGAUAAUGAUUUUCCUCUUAUAAGAUACCAAAUUACCAACAACCUCUUUGGGUGUUCUUUUCUUUUAACUAGCUUUUCACCCGUGCGAUGCACGGCUAAUAUAAUAAUAUAAAAUAAUAAAAAUUAUUAUAUAAUGAUAAAAAAAAUAUUUUAAUUAAUAUUAUAUUUUUUUAACAAAUAAAAAAAUAUACUAUCAAUUUUAAUUAUAGUACAUAUUAAAGUACACAAGCUAGAGAAAAAAAAAUUUUGAUCAAAAUAAAUACUCAAGUAAAAUGCAAAAUUCAACCAUACUCUAUUAUCUAUAAAUUGGUGUGCAACACAAUUUACAUUUAUAUAUUGGUAUGCAAAACAAAAUGAUAACUAAAAUUGAUAUGAAAAAUUACAAAUAAUAUUAAUAUUUAAGCAUAUAAUGAGAUUAACUAAACUUUCAUAUUUGACACAAAUUAGAGUAAGCACACGUAUAUUAUUUCCCUACUGUCACUUUAAAUAUUCAAAAAUAUAUAGAUGUUGGUGUUCAAGAUAAUAUAAAGAAAAACAACUUUGUUGCAUGAAGAUGGAAAAUUACAGAAGUGACAGUAGGAAAAAAAAAUUACGAAAUGAAAAUUACAGAAGUGACAGUAGGGAAAUAAUAUGUUCUAUUUUAAAAUAUUAACAUUUAAGAGCUAAGAAAAUUACAGGAGUGACGUGAGUUUUAAAUUUUUUUUCUCUUUCCAAAAAUGCCUCUAUCCUUUUUUACUAAUAUUUUUAUAUCCAGAAAUUUUCAACCAAUCAUUUCAAAUAAUUAACUAAGUAACAAUUUAUACCCAAAUAAAAAUAAAUAUUUUUCUUCUCAUGCGUAAUAUCCGCACCCGUCAAUUCUUUCGCAACGUAAUAUUCGUAAAUUUUUCAAAUAUCUGAACAUAAUUAUAGGUGACUUUGAAAUAAAAGUUUCUUCAUUGUAGGUAAUUUUUAAUAAUAUAGUAAAAGAUAUUAAUUUUUUAUAAAAGCGUGAGUUUUGAAUUUUUUCCUCUUUCCAAAAUUGUCUCUAUCCUCUUUUACUAAUAUUUUUUUGUCCAGAAAUUUUCAAUCAAUCAUUUCAAAUAAUUAACAAAGUAGUAAUUUAUUUUCAAAUAAAGAUAAAUAUUUUUCUUGUCAUGCGUGAUAUCCGCACUCGUCAAUUCUUUCGCAACAUAAUAUCCGUGAAUUUCUCAAAUAUCUCAUCAACAUAAUUAUAGGUGACUUUGAAAUAAAAUCUCUUUCAUUAUAGGUGAUUUUUAAUAAUAUAGUAAAAGAUAUUAAUUUUUUGCCAUUACAUCUUAUCUAAUGAUUGAAAAUAAAAAUAUCUGUUUUUUUUGUGACAAUAUUAUCCUCGCAUUUAUAUCAUAUUUUCUAUUUAGGCGUUUCUUAAAUAUUUUUGGAAAAACUUUAAAAAUUUUCCUGUGGUUUCGUAGUUUCUCACUUUAUCCCCAUGUGGUUUAAAAUGUAUCAAUUUGCCGCCCUGUGGUUUCUUUUUUUUUUCUUAUCAAUUUUAUUAUUUUUUUUUUCUUAAAUCAGUGAUAAAGUUAAAAUUAAAGGGUACCAAAAUGAAUAUUUGAUCAAUCUAGAUAGGUAUCUGAAGUUUUUUGUAUAUAAUUUAAUGAAAUAUUAACGAAAGCUACCGAAAAGAUAAAACGAAACCACAGGGGGGCAAUUUGAUACAUUUUAAACCACAGGGGGGUUUUUUGAAGUUUUUUCAAUAUUUUUCUUCUCACGCGUAAUAUCCGCCAAUUUUUUCGCAAUGUAAUAUCCGUGAAUUUCUCAAAUAUCUCAGUAAUCCACGUACCAUUUGAAUUUAAUAAUAUAGUAAAUAGAAUAGAUACGAUAACACGUGGAAAUCAUAUAGAAAGCCACGUUAAAAAAAAUGUCUCUAUCUUUUCUUACUAAUAUUUUUAUGUCCACAAAUUUUCAACCAAUAAUUUUAAAUAAUUAAUUAAGUAAUAAUUUAUUCCCAAAUAAAGAUAAAUAUUUUUUUUCUCAUGCGUAGUAUUCGUACCCGCCAAUUCUUUCGCAACGUAAUAUCCGUGAAUUUUUCAAAUAUCUUAUUAAUCCAUCUACCAAAUAGAAUAGAUUUCCUAAAGUAGUAAUAUCCGCACAAUAUAAUUAUAGAUAACUUUUAAAUAAAAUUUUCUUCAUUAUAGGUGAUUUUUAAUAAUAUAGUAAAAGAUAUUAUUUUCUUAAAAAAUUUAAUUUUAUUUUUUCAAAAUUAGAAAAUUUAUAUUUGAGCUUGACACGUAGAUUUUCUAUAUAGUAAAAGAUAUUAUUUUCUUAAAAAAUUUUAUUUUAUUUUUUCUAGAGUAACAUCCGCACCCACCAAUUCUUUCGCAACGUAAUAUCUGUGAAUUUAUCAAAUAUCACAACAUAAUUAUAAGUGAUUUUGAAAUAAAAUUCCUUUAAUUAUAGGUGGCCAAUUCUUUCUCAACGUAAUAUCCGUGAAUAUUAUUUUCAUAAAAAAAUUCUUUCGCAAUGUAAUAUCCGUGAAUUUCUCAAAUAUCUCAACAUAAUUAUAGGUGACUUUGAAAUAAAAUCCCCUUCACUAUAGGUGAUUUUUAAUAAUAUAGUAAAAAAUCUAUAUUUGAAAUAUUACCUAAAGUAGAAAAUCUGUAUUUGAACUUGACACGUAGAUUUUUUAUAUAGUAAAAAAUAUUAUUUACUUAAAAAUUCUAAUUUUAUUUUUUUUAAAGUAUAAAAUUUAUAUUUAAGUUUGACACGUGACAAGCAUAUAGAGCGUCACGUAUCAGUUUCUCAUAUAGGAUUCAUUAAGGGUUCUAUUUUAGUAUAUAGUAAUAGAUUGUACAUACCAACAACUAGGAUGAGAGUGAUACCACAGUAAAAGCUACUGGACUAUAAUUAGAUACCCUUUAUUUUCUCCAUUUGCAUUUUAAAUUUUGUUGGGCAUCGCAAUAGCAAUUAGUUUUUGACAUUCUAUAUUUUAAAGUGACGGUACCUAGCACUAAGUAAUCUCUAUAUCAGUAUCCGCGGGUAUCCACGGAUUAUUCGUAAAUUUAUAGGUACGAGUACUAAUAUUUUCUAUCUAAAAAUUUAUGAAUAAAACGGAGGGGUACCUGUUAAUUUGUAGGUAUUUUGGACAACUUGCAAAUAGAGGUUGAUUCACGUGUUCUUGAAUCAUUCUUGAAGGUCUUCUAACACUCCAAACUCGCGGUGGAUCGAACUAUAAACGAGCACGAUCACAAAUCCACCGUUCAAGUCCCUCUAGAAUAAUAGGUUAAUGAAGAAUGUGGUUUCUACUUUUCUUUCUUUUAUUUUCUCAUUUUCUUUCUUAUUUUUUUUCUUCAUUUUAUGUGAAAUCGCCCGCAUAGUUAUAAUUUCUUUUAUUUUCUUAUUUUCUUUCCUUUUUUUUUCAUUUUAUGUGAAAUCGCAAAUCCUAAUAGAUACGUAAGAAAUAAGGGUAAAUCGAUUAUUAAUUAUUAUCCUAAUAUGAUUAGAAUUUAUCUCUAAUUAGCUUUUCAAUUUAAAAGCGAGAUUAAUUCUAAUCCAAUUAGAUAACUUAAUAAUCGUCGGAUCGAGUCCGAUCAUGAGCGCACCCGAUUCGAUUUAACCAAAUGCCAACAAGUAGCACACUGUUUCGUUGUAGUCGUGGCUUGUGCUUGGUCGCAUCCAACCGGUUAAUGUGAUUGUGGGCUGAAUUGACACGACCCAUAUCAGCUAUGCCAGCCAGGGUGGACACCGCAGUGCUUUUUCUUUCCUUUGAUAUUCUUUUAGAGUUUAAAUAUUUUUUAAAAAAAAAUUAAGAAGAAAACUUAUUUACUUAAUAGAAAACAAUAUAUAUUUUAUAAACUUAAUAUUAAAAAAGUAAAAUUACGAAAUUUAAAAUAAAUCAUGAAGCUAGCUGGCUGUGAUUUAGUAAUGGAGUGUUAUUAAUUUGUUUCUACCUAAGUGAUAAAUAAGGGGGUGCAUGUGCGGAUGUUGCCUGGAUGAGCAAUUAUUCUGCUUGCUUUUACCUUGUGGAGGAAAUUAAUCUAUUAUUAUGUAGUAGGUACAACACAUUAUUUAUAACCAGUUAGUUUUUUUUUCUUUUUGGAGAGAAAAAUAUAAUAAAAUUAUUUUUAAAAAAAGUAUGAUAAAAUGGAUGAACUAUAAAAUAGUAAUUUGAUUAGUUGUAGACACCAUAUAUAUCAGCAAUAUAAUUAUUACAUUCUAGACUUUUUCCUAAUUUGUCGAGCGCAUUUGUUGUUGGAGUACGAGUGAUUGUAUGGUUCACUAAUUUACAUAGUAGCCUAUCGCUUGUAUUUUGCGGGUGUGUACUACUAUGACCAGUAAGAAAUCCAGCUCGUAAAAUUGUGUCGCUUAUUAAUUGUCCUAUCAAAUUGUUCUUAAUGAUAGGAAUUCCGAAUCGAUAAUCGGAGCCGUUAAAGUUGAUCUAGAGUAUUUGAAAUAUCUAAAAACUAAAUUUUAUAAAUUUUAAAAAUUAUUUACAUGGUGAUCAAAGUGUCAUAAAAUCGACAAUUUUUUAUGGCCUAUACGAGCCAUUUGCUUGUUCAACGGUAUAGAGUAAUCCAAAUUGCUUGAAUUUUUGACAGAAAAUUUUUUAUACUAUUUAAAUAAUGUUCGAUAACUCUGAUUAUGAAUUGAGAAAGUCUAACCUCUAUUUUAAAAAGGUUAUUCAUUUAUGACCGUUCAAUUUUUCGACUCUUCGAUAGACUUGAUAAUAAUUUUUAAAUAUUAUAAAAUUUAGUUUCUUAACAUUUCUAAUUGUGUAGACAAUUUCAACGAUGCCGAUCGAUUAUCAAUUUAAAGAUCCGAUCAUUCAAAUCGAUUUGAUAGGACAAUGUCCACAAUCCUAUUAAUAGGAUAGUAGAUGGACUCUAUACAUAAAGAGGAAGAAAAUUGAGCUUGUAUAUUUUUAAAAAUACCAAAUUAUUAGUGCUUAUAGGUUUUCGGCCCUUAAAUGAAGAUAUGUACAGUUAAGAUGAUAAUAAUUCUCUAGAAUUAAAUAAAUGGUUGAUGAAAUAGCAUAAUAUAAGGGAUAAAAUUGGUGAAAAGAAUAGAUAUAACGAUGAGAAACUUACUAGGAAUAAAUACUUAGUGUUUUUAAAAACACCAUAGCCGAACUUAUAUAUACAUAUGCGUGUGCGGGAGCGCACGCGUACGUGCCGUAGCAAUAAUGUCAAUAUAUCAAAACUAUGUUGUGCAUUGAAUCGGGCUUGUUGGAUUCCAUGCAUGUAAGAAAUUGUAGUAGAGGAAGGUUUAAAAUGCUAAUAUUACUUCCUUCCCCACAUGCAGUAAUAGAGAGCGGAUGGUUUUGUCUAAACCAUCCCAACUCUAAAACAAAUUAAGAAAUUUCUCCUCAAGUGACGUAAUGCUAUGAGCCUAAAUUAUGCAAAUUUUUUUAAAAAAAAUUAAGGCUACAAAUAGUAAUAAAUGUUAAUAAAUGGAAAGGAAAAAAAAAAAACACUCCAUAUGUAAUAGAAGAAAUGAGAAACAAUAAUUUUAUCUCCCAAGCCCCAAUUUAUUAUACGCAAUUUUUCAAAACGAUUGAGGAUAAAUCAGUUGAUAAUGAUUUUCCUCUUAUAAGAUACCAAAUUUCCAACAACUUCUAUGGGUGUUAUUUUCUUUUAAUUGUACAUACCAACAACUAGGACGAGAGUGAUACCACAGCAAAAGCUACUGGACUAUAAUUAGAUACCCUUUAAUUUCUCGAUUUGCAUUUUAAAUUUUGUUGGGCAUCGCAAUAGCAAUUAGUUUUUGACAUUCUAUAUUUUAAAGUGACGGUACCUAGCACUAAGUAGUCUCUAUAUCAGUAUCAACGGGUAUCCACGGAUUAUCCGUAAAUUUGUAGAUACGAGUACUAAUAUUUUCUAUCUAAAAAUUUAUGAAUAAAACGAAGGGGUACCCGUUAAUUUGUAGGUAUUUUGGACAACUUGCAAAUACCCAUGAGUACCCGCAUAUAUUUUUUUAAUUAAAAUAUAUAUAAUAUUUAUAAUAUUGACUCUAUAAUUAUUAAAGCUUUUUUAAUUUUAUAUCGCAAAAAUUAUAAUUUGCGCAUAUUUUCUCACUUUAGUACUUAAUAGUUUAAAGUGUAUCAAGUUAGUUGCCACAAAUAGCUCAACCUUUUUUUAACGGGUAGAAAUUGGGUAGUUUUUAAACCAGACAUGGUUCAUGGGUAGGGAUCAGGCCCGGUCCAGCAAGGCUGUGGGCCAUGCUGGGCAUCAGGCAACACCCACAACCAUUUUAGAUUGGGCCUAAAGUAUUGGGCCGACCCUUUUAUUUUUUUCUAAUAUAUUUUUAAAUUUUUUAUUUAAUCCAACCACAAAAAUAGACAAGCACCAAUUUAUAACUAUUUAACAAUUAAUAGGUUCACACACACGCGCGCGCGCACACAACUAUGUAUUUAUUAGACAUAGUUUAGAAUAAGCAAACACUCCUCAGUCUUUGAUGUUUGAUUACUCACAAAAAUGCUAGCAAUUGGAUGCUAUUAAUUAAUUAUUUGAUAAAUUUCUGAAGCAACAUAGUCGGUAAGGGGCAUGUGUGCGUUAAACAGGUAUAUUCAGGGGCAUAUGUGUGAAGGUCUUAUUUAUAAUUUUGUCAUCUAAAUUUUGAUAAAUAUAUUUUAUCUUAAACAAAUAUAAUAAUAAUUUUUAUUUUAAAUUAAUUUUAAAAAAGCAAAAUGAUGCUCGGGCAAUUUUUACUUUUGAGGCGUGGGCAUGCGACGAGCACACAUGGCGUUCGCUUCGCCCCGUUUGCUCCGUCGCAUGUCGCAAAUCCAAACCAAGUAACGGCUCCACGAACGCACGCACGCACUCAGGCUCGGUCGCUCGAGAACUCUCGCGCCCCCUUUUUCUGAUUCCAACUCCAAAAUGGCCACGCGUCACCUCGCCCCUCUCCGUCUCCCCCUCAUCUUCUUCAAAACCCUCUCCCCUCCGCGCCCCCUUUCUCGACCCUUCCCCCGAUCCCUGGCUCGGAGCUUCGCGGUCUCUUCCAUGGCGUCUCCUCCCUCCUCGAAGAAGGUAUCCUCCUACCCCCCCACAAAUCUCUCCUCUCCCUUCUCCGGGUCCUCUCUAGCCUCUAAUGGGUUUGUCGGAUUCGAGUAGGUGCUGGUCCCGAUCGCGAACGGGACGGAGCCGAUGGAGGCGGUGAUCAUCAUCGACGUGCUCCGCCGCUCCGGCGCCGACGUCACCGUCGCCUCCGUCGAGAAGGACCUCCGCGUCGACGCGUGCUGGGGCGUCAAGCUCGUCGCCGACGCCCUCGUCGCCGAUUGCGCCGGCUCGGCUUUCGAUCUCAUCUCGCUUCCCGUGCGUGUCGAUUCGGGGUUUUGGAAGAGGUUUUUGUGAUCUUUUUAAGCGAUUUUUCGUCUGAUCGGGGUAGGAUUUUGGAUGCAGGGAGGGAUGCCGGGGGCGGCGAAUCUUCGGGAUUGUGGUGUGUUGGAGAGUAUGGUGAAGAAGCACGCCGAGAACGGCGGGCUCUAUUCUGCGAUAUGUGCGGCGCCGGCCGUGGCCCUGGGAUCAUGGGGCCUGCUCAAGGGCUUAAAGGUGGAAGUUUUAAUCACUUUUUUAUGUUUCCAGUUACUUAUUAGUUUCCAUCGAAAAUGAAGAUCCAGUUAUCGGAACUUCAAUUCAGUUUUUACUAUUAUAUUCUAUCUUAACUGCAGUUUACUUAAAAAUCAGUUUUCUUGUCAAUAGUUUUAUAUAUUUGCAUGAUGUAUUGAUAAUAUAAACAAUAAUUGGCGCAGCGUUAAUCAAGGUCCUCUUCUUGCAACAGGCAACUUGUUAUCCUUCUUUCAUGGAUAAGUUUCCUUCGGACACUGUUGCGGUGGAAUCAAGAGUACAAGUGGAUGGCAAAGCUGUGACAAGCCGUGGAGCAGGAACUGCCAUGGAGUUCUCUCUUGUUUUGAUUGAGCAUCUGUAUGGGAAAGAUAAAGCAGCUGAAGUUGCAGGACCUCUGGUAAAACUUGCCUUCUACUUUUGUAUGCUUAUCAUCAUUGUAAUUGACGUUUAAUCUAGUUUAGGUUAUUGAAUGUGGAAAAUUUUUAUACCAACUUAAAAAUCAAUAUGAGAAUUGAUUUUUGGUUGUUAAAUUUGUCAAUAGUUUUAAAGUUGCAUGGUAUGUUAUUUUAUAGGAAAUCUUUGGAAAGAAAAUUUGUAGUGAAAAUUCUAUUGUUGCGUUUUUUUUUUUAAUUCUGCAUUGCCUUUUCCUCCUAGCAUGGAGUGAAAUUUGACUCGCUUUGUUGAGCUGCGUUAGAAUGGGUUUGAUUGAUAAGCAAUCUUAGUGGUGAGGAAAAGUUAUGAUAGUUGACUUAUAAAUGCAAUGCAAUAACUUGGCUCUAGUUCAAUUGUGCCAUUCUUCAUGAUAACUCUCAUUUUUUAGUUCUUAAUAUGGAGCAAUCAUAUGCAUGUAAGAUCUGAAAAAACUUUGCAUUGACAAAUCUGCAACACAGAACAAAGAAGAACUUUAUUAAUUUCUUACAAUGAAUGUCUUUUCAGGUUAUGCGCCCUCAUCAUGGAGUUGAGUUCGCCAUGAAAGAGCUGAACCGUGUGGAAUGGAAAUUUAAUGGAACACCUAAUGUAAGUUGUGAAAAUCUCCUUCUGCCUUUCAAAUUAUGUUUUCCUUUUCCUCUUUAAGAAUUUUUUGUUGUUUUCUUUUCCGUUUGUGGAUUGAUCUUUUCCCUGCACACACUUGGCAGAAAAGCUUUAUUCAUCUGUUUGGAUGUUUCAUCUUGUCGAUCAUUAGUUUAUAUACUGCCUGCAUCCAAAUUCAGUCCAUCUUCCACUUUUCUCUUAGCUCCAAGAGUUACGAUACUUACUAUUCUACACUAAUUUCAUGUUAGGCUGCUGUUCAUUUGAAGCUCAAAACUAUGCUGUGAGUUUACUGUAAUAUUCAUUCCUUCAUUUUUGGAGUUUGAAAGCUAGUCUGUUGUUUGAAAGACAUAAAUCAUAUUUGUUAGAUAUGUCUCAAAUUCUUAAGCUGCAAAGGUUUUCCAACUCUAUUCUGGUUUGGUUGACCCAUUUAGUUAAAUUAGGAAUAAUCCUAAGUUUAUUAGAUUUUAUUCCUAGUUGCACUGGGAUUUAGUGACUGAUGUAACUGUACCUUUUAUUUUGUGGAUUUGGUGCUGUGGAUGAGAAAGAGCAUGGUUGUUCUGAGGGCUAGGGUUUUUCGGAAAGACUAAUGAGGCAGCUUUUAUAUUUUACUUUUGAUAAAAAUAAAAUUGUCUGCUCCGCCUUCAUUCGUGCACGUAGGCCAAUUGCGGAAUCACGUAAAUUAUUUGUGCACUUCAUUUUUCUUCUCUCUUCCUAAUGCUUUUUCGGUAUUUUUACACCCCAUGAUUUUUGGCUUUUGUUUACCUAGUACCCUUAAAGAUAAACGCAUUAUUAUUGUUCUUUCCGUAAAAUAUUUGUUGAAUUUUCAUUAAUCUGGAAGUUUUUAUUCCGUUGAAGCACCCCCGAUGAUCACUCUUCACCUCUGAGUUGGUUAUUCUGGUUUAGCUUGCAAUGAUACACUGCUUUAAUUCACAUUAUGGCAUUAUGCUCUCCCUGUUUUUCAGAUCCUUGUGCCAAUUGCUAAUGGCUCAGAGGAGAUGGAAGCUGUUAUGAUCAUCGACAUUCUGCGGCGAGCAAAAGCUAAUGUUACAGUUGCAUCAGUCGAAGACAAGUUAGAAAUUGUGGCAUCCAGGAAAGUGAAAAUAGUCGCUGAUACACUGUUGCAUGAUGCUAGUAAGCAGCAAUAUGACCUUAUUGUCUUGCCGGUAAGUUUUUUAGUCAUCAUUUUCAACUUUAACCUACUUCUAUGCAAUAUUAUAUACCGGAAUAUUUCACCCUGUCCAUUUCUCAUUCGCAGGGUGGUCUCGGUGGUGCUAAAGCCUUUGCAAAUUCAGAGACACUUAUCAAUUUGCUCAAAAAGCAGGCCGGAUCAAACAAGCUUUACGGGGCUAUAUGUGCUUCCCCAGCUAUAGCCCUCGAGCCCCAUGGCUUGCUUAAGGUAACAGCUUCUAGCAUAAGCUGCAGAAAUCCUGGCUAUUUAUGAAACACAGUUUCCCACUUUUUUUAAAUUUCGGCAUCAUGUCCUACUUAAUAGGGUAAGAAAGCGACAGCAUUUCCACCCAUGUGCGACAAACUCUCCGAUCAGAGCGAGUGCGAGAAUAGGGUCGUGGUUGAUGGGAACUUGAUUACGAGUAGAGGUCCGGGGACUGCAAUGGAGUUCUCUCUGGUCAUUGUUGAGAAGUUCUUUGGCCGGGAAAAAGCACUCGACCUCGCCAGGAGUCUGGUGUUCAUGUGAUUCACCAGUAGAAGAUACAGCUGCUGAGAAAUUGCUUUGUCUGAAUCAGGCUUUUCUCCUUGUCUUUGAAGAGAGCUUGUAAAUCUUUUCUCCAUCUAUGCAUGAUGCAUCUCCCGCGCGUCCGCGUCAUCUUUGGUAUGAUGAUGGUUGCUUUGUACUUAUAAGGUGAGAAAUUUGACCUGGCCUGUUUGAGUGCUCUAGUAAUCUUUAAAUAAAUAAUACUCACCGGUGUUUGGUUGAGCUGCGAUUGUGAAUAUAAUGCACUUAAGUACUACUGCAAUUCAGGGUAAUUGUAAAUGCUGUUCAACUGUCGUGCCACAUUUACAUCUACACUUGUUGAACGGAACUUAUAAUGGUCAGGGUACUCUCGGAGAACUUUAAAAUUGUCCAACAAGAAUGGAGAGAAAUGUCACUUAUAUGCCCGAAAAUUGGUUGUCAUUUUACACCUAAUCCGUUCAAGAAUUCUGGUAAUUUUUUAGUAUUAGAAAAAUAGGGAGAUGAUAAAUCUAUCUGCUUCGUGCUAAUAUAUUAGACCACUCUGAUAGCUUUUAUCCACCAAAAAUAUAAAAAAUAACCACGAAAAUUACUUAGCACGUACGAAUCUUUCACGGGGCAUCAACACCUUUUGUCCUUUUAGCUGGGUGCAGCGAAAGAGCUUUUAUUUUUCUUCUUGAUCUCUUUCGUCGGUGGGUUCACAUCGUACAGCGAACCAAGUAAAUUAAUACACGCACGUAACAUAAAUAGAUAGAUACUGAGAAGUUAGCCUAGGGGAAGUACAGGAGAUUUGUCAGAAAUGAUUCAAGGUGCCGAGGAGAAGCCGUAGUCGUCAUGUUUCAGAGGCAAAUUCUUUAUUUAUUUAUUUUUUUAGCAGGCUACUCGCGUUCAUUUAUUUUUGAAAAAAUAAACUUAAUUAAAGAUAUGAAGUAAUAAGACUUCAAAAUUUAAAACCACAGACACUAACAAUCCAACUCUUAUCCAAGCAUUAUCGAAGUAUUAUUAUAAGCAAAUAGUCGUGAAGAAAAUUUCGUAUACGAACAAGCUUAUUUCGCAGUUUCAUUACUGUGAACAAUUGAAUCACAAUUAAAACUUUUCAAAGCACAAAACACACGCAAUUCUGGUAACAUAGUCUCCUCAGCACUGAUAUCAAAGAACUAAAAUUUUGGUUCGAGCUCCACGAGAACAAAAUAUACAUAUAAUGUACAUGAGUAUGGCUACUAUACUCUUAUGAGUACGAUUAUCUUCGUAUUCAUAAAUUAUUUUUUAUGAUAGAGCUUUCGAAUCGACGAUCUAUACCGUUAAACAUUAUCUAGAGCAUUUAAAACUUCUAGAAAUCAAAUUUUUUGAUUUUUCGACAUUAUUUACCGUAUGAUCAAAAUAUCACAAAAUUGAUAAUUUUUAACGGCCGGUAUGAGAUACUUGCUAGUUUAACGGUAUAAAAGAAUUGAAAUAGUUUGAAUUUUUGAUAGAAAAUUUUAUUCACUACCUAGAUAAAGAUCAAUAAUUCUGAUCUUAAAUUGAAGGAUUCGAUCAUCCAUUUUUAAAACAUUGUUUGAUUUUGACCGUUCAUUUUAUACCCGUUUGAUGGGCUUUAUUAUGAUUUCGAAAAAUUACGGAAUUUAUUUUUUAGAAGUUUCAAAUGCUUUAGAUUAUAUUUAACGGAGUGGAUCGUCGAUUCGGAAGCUCCAUCAUCGAAACAUCUUAUGAGUACGAAGACUCUAUACUUGUAAGAGUACUACUCUCAUGUACACUACUACAAUAAUUGAUGAGAAGUACAAAACGCAUCAUAUAACUCAUCCAGAAAAGGCUCCUCGGCCUUCGCCGCGGGCCAUUCACCGCGGCAUCCUUGCGUGCAGCCCUCUUCCCCGGCAUAGCCGAACCGGGGGCCUCUGCACGCCCGCGGCCUCUGGGGCACCACCCGUGGGGCCCCCACCGCCACUGCCGUCUGAUCCCUCCCGGUCAGCCGCUGCACGACGGCCUUGAAGUCGGCCAGGUCCGUCUGCACAAACUGCGUCUCGAUCACCGUCACCUUGAUCUCCCUCGCAUUCGAAUUUCCGCUCCAAGACAUUUUAUUUUGUCUUGCAAGCUAGGCAGCAGCGAGGUAUUUAUACAUAUAUAGAGAAAAUCAAAAGAGGGCGGGGUUUGAACAUUCUUCAGGAGGGGUUGGCGCGACGCAGUGGUCAAAAUGGGGAGGGGGCGAGCCAAAAAGGACUUUUGGCGCGUCAAAACUCGUGGGAAUGGGACGUGAUCGAGACACAAUAAUAGAUCCACAAGGGCUUAACGGUUGGUUGAGGAUUCGAAGCUGCUUCCUAUGAAUCUUAUCCCACCACAUGCUUCUAAGCUUUUUGAUUGACUAAAGUCGCGCGGCUCGUACAGUGUCGGCCAGUAACCGCUGCUAUCAAAAAAACUGUUUUCCGGCUGUUUCCAGAGAAAGUUUACUGCAUCAUAUUUGCAUCAUAUUAUCGAUAACAAAUUAAUUAUACUUUUUUUAAAUAAAAAUAUUUUUUAAUAAUUAUUAUGGGAUGAGUGAUUUAAAUAAAUAUAAUCUUAUUGGUUGGAGAUAUCUCGUCAGCAAUAUAACUAAUGCAUUUUAGAUUUUUUUUUUUUAUUUGGGAAGUGGGGGGCUGAGGAGAUGUUUAUAAAUUAACUUUUCUGGAACUUUGUCAUUUAAUUUUAUGAAUUGGUUUCAUCAACUUUAAUUUUAUUUUUUUUGUUAAUGUUUGAAACUAAAAAAAAGUUGACUUAAUUUUAGAAGGAAGGAUUAAUAAUUAUAGGAUUUCUCGAUUUAUAUAUUAAUGAGAGAGAGAAAUCAUUGCUUGUACCUCUGUGUGGAUUGAAUUUUCUGUAGACUAUUCACUAGAGGAAAUCCGUGCUCUCAACUAAUGCAAACUGUGUCUGCUUAAUUUAUAUAUUUGUUUAGUAUCUGUUUAUUUUUGAUAAUUUGAUGUGCCAUUGUAAGUAGUAUCUUAUUAAUAAAUAAACAGUAAAUAUAAUGAUUGGAUGGGAAUCAAGAUGCUUCAAAUUAAAAUUAAUCAAUUUUUAUCUUAAUUUAAAUUCUAAAAAUAUUUAAAAAUUUUACAAAUUAAAGGGGAAGGGCCUUUCGUAUCCACUCCGCUUCGUUGCUAGCUAUUCAGUUUUUACGCUCGAAGUUCAAACACGGGCAAUGCAUGCAUGUGCUAUAUACUCUUGUACAAAUCCAUUCAUACUCCCAAAACGAAAAAGAAAAAGAAAAGUAACAAUUCAAAAAACACAUGAACAUAGGUAAAUUCGAGCUUAUAUUAUAUAUAUAUAUAUGUCAAACAUGAGUCAAAAGUUUAGACCAAGUAAUUAAUCUCUUCAACAUAUGCGUCAAACAUGGGUCAACAGUUUAGACCAGUACGUCUCUGGGUGAUUCAAUUCAACGUACGUGUAGCAAUCACAGCUUACCACAAACACAAUUGGACGUACGAGACAUCAAGUACUACGUGCAUCAAAGCAACGAAAAGUAGUUUUAAUUUGUGGUGCAUCGAGUGUCCGUUGAAUCAACUAUUUUCUUACAUUUACUUUAAUCCAGUGUCAUAAAAAAGUUUAAAAAAAUAAAAAUAAAUUGAAGCUUAGGAAAUAUGCAGUGCUUUUCAAUUGUCUCAAAAUUUUAUCUGCAAUUUCGAUCACAUGCAUAAUCAAACAGGCACACUGAGUUAUCCUGAUUAAUUAUCACUUAAAAAUGAAAAGAUACUAAUUAAAAAAACUUUUUUUUUUCCUACUCUGUGCGUGCUGCGAGUCAUCAAAUCUAAAAUUUUAUGUUGAAAUCCAAGAUCUGAAAAAUAAAAGAUAUAAUUGCUAAAACGUUACAUUUUGAUGUUCAAUCGAUUCUUCAGAGAGAGAAGACGAAGAAGAAGAACAACAACAACAACAAAGGAAAAAAAAAAAAGAAAGAAAGAAAAAGAAAUACUUGUUCAAUAUUGGUGCAUCUGAAACCACCACACCGAGAGCUAGCUAGCUUUCUAAUACAAAAUAUAUGAUAUCACUUCAUAAAAAAACAAAAAAUGUUUGUGACACAAUGAAAUGCCUCCUCGGAUCUCAAAUUCUCAAUCACAAAUGAUUUCUGCGAAGCUGCCUCUAUGGAUUUUUCCUUUCUCUUCAGGAAGUAGAAGUUAGGUAAAAAAUUUCAGGGUCCGUAGUAUUCCACGACAAAAAUAUUGCAAUUUAUCCUUGUCGAAGGGGCUGAAAAUUCUAGGCUUUGCUGACAUCAAUAUAUUCUAGAUAUUUUAGAAAUUUUUGUUGCUUUCGAACCACGCUGACCUUCUCUAACUAUCACCACUGUCAAGGACACAUAAGGUUCAAGUUACAUCAUGAUCAUUAAAAUGACAAUGCAGUUAAUUUAAUGACUGCUUUUACGCGAAGCAAUCAUUUAUUUGCCGUGUUAAUCGAGGACUGAAUCACGAUGAUGUUUAAUACUUGGACACGAAGCAAGGAAUCACGUUCGCCUGUGAUAUUACGAAAGUUCUUAGUAAUUUAAUUAAUCAGCCCUACUGUUGGAUUAACAGUUCUGGCAUUAAUUCUAGGUUUUCCGUAAAAUCUAGAUUUGAAUUUUUCACUGAUUUUUGCUUCAGCAAAAGGGCAAACAAUAUAGAGCAACUAGCUAGGCUAGUUAGUUGAAUUGCUACUCUGCGUACGUUCUAUGUGGCAACACACUAUUGUUAAUUUCAUGUAUAUAGAUGCUAAGUGAUAAAACCCCCAAUGUCUCGCAUGCAUAUGGUUUCACUUAUCUAAUCCAGCCAUAAAUUGAAGUUUCUUAAUUACAAUUUGCCGAAACCUACAAACUUUGUCUAAAAUGUAAUACAAACUAUGAAAAAAACCAAUUGUGUCGAAGAAUAGGGCAUGCGACGUGGUUAUAUAUGAAGGUAUAUCAUCAACUAUUAAUUGGAGCAAUAAGAAAUUAAAUCUAAAUGCUGUUAAAACUUAAAACCAAAUAAUUAGAGGAGCCACAAACUCGAUCUACCUUGUGACAAAUAGCUAUUGACCCAUAAGAUAUAACCAUAGUAGCAUUCAAACUGUUGAGAAUUUUCCUAAUUAAUUUAUAAGACAAUAUUAGGAGAAAGAGGUAGUGAUAAAUGGUUGCACACAGUGCAAAAGAGAACUUUGGUUUCUUUGACAUAUUAUUGUCCUUGUGCAUGUCACACUAUAUAUCUUGUACCUAACAUGGUGCAUGCACGAAAUAUUAUACGUGGAUGUUGAUAUAUACUAUAUUUUGGGAGAUCGAGGACAUCCUGAGUAAUUUUUGUAGAUGAUUAGGGAGAGUUUGGGAAACUUAAUUACCUUUCAAUCUUUUUAGAGGCAUAGAAGAGACAGAGCACAGAAAAGUAGGCGAAGAAGAAGGGAGCUCAAAUCUCCAAACUUCUAUUCUUAUUCCACUCCCUUCGCUCUUCGAGGCUACAAAAUAUUAAAAGCUUUUUUGACUAUUUGUGAGGUUCAAUUGUAAACAUUGCAGGUUGUAAGAACCUAAUUGUUGAGACUCCACAUACAUUAAUUGGUUAAUUGGGAAGUAAUAAAUAGCUAAGCAAACUCAAGAGUACUUACACUUUCCUUUGUUAUAAUUAAUUAAUUAAGGUCACUAACUAGGUCCUUAUAGCUCUAAAAUGGAGGGGUUUAAUUCGGAUUUCGUAAAACACAAUUAGGGAUAUUUUGAACUAGGAGAUAGAGUUGAUGGAGAUUCAUUGGCAUUGAUUUAUUUUCAAUUUUUGCAUUGCACUUUUUUUCUUUUUUUUUCUUUCAUUAGAUUUUAGGCUCUACAGUAAAUGCUAUAUAUACACUUGUCUGUUCUUUGAAAAUUUUAGGCGAAAAUAAUCUUUUCCUUUAUUUAGUAUUUACAAUGCAUCACUGACUGUCCCUAAUGCAUGCCGGUGAUAAAAGAAAUUAUAUUUUUUUGAAAAGAAAAUAUUGAACGAAACGGUAAUAUGCUAUCAUUCUUUUAAACAAGAAAAAAUAUUUAAAAUGCAUCUACAACCUGUUGUUGAAUGAAUAUAUACAAAGCAUUAAAUUAUCGUUUUUAAAAUAUUUUAAAAUUUUUAAAUAGUCAAAUGUUUGAAGUUCCAAGUGCCAAGCGGGUUUACAAUCUACUAACGCGGCCCAGCGAUUAAUUGUCAACACAUGCUAAUUCCCAAUCUCAAGAAUAUAUUAAUUGUACAAUAGUAACAGCAAUUACCUUUGAACUAUAUAUUGAAGGCACGCGGAUUCUGCAUAUAUAGGUGCACAUAUACGUAUUGCGUCCUCCGUUGCGUAUUAUACGUAUUGCGUCCUCCGUUUCAAAUCUAUUAAUAUAUAUACAUAAAUAUAUAUACUUAUUGGACUGCAUGUGUAUAUAAAUCAAACAGAAUUUUCUAUAUGAUUAAUAUUAAUACAUGCAUUAACUAAUAAUAUAUAUGACCGAUCGUACACACACGUUAUAGAAAUCGUGUAUAUUUCUCUCUCUAUCUCUAUGCAUCCGAGCAAUUAAAUUAAAUUAAAGGUCCCUUGUUGGUGUUUGAUAUUGGUUGAGGAGAGAGAGAGAGAGAAAGGGGAGGGGGAGAUAGCGUGAGAAUCCCUUCGGUGGUGAGUAAUUAAUAAUAAAUUAUUAAUUAAUUAAUGCAAAUUGUUUGAGCGCGCCGAGGCGGCCUCGAAGGCGGGGAAGCGGAGGAGUGCUGUUGCCGAAUCCUCACCACGUGCGUGCGACCCUAUUUUAUUUCUACGGCUGACUUUUUUUCUUUUCUUUUUUUUUCUUUUAUAUAUAUAUUAUAUACGUUAUAUAUUAGAGUGAGGCUAAAAACUUGUUCUGAAGACGGAGCUUCCGUGCUCUCAUGGUCGUUGUUGUGUUGUGAUUCCGAAUCUCGAUCGGGCUCCGUUAGAUUUUAUCUAGAUAUUUGAGAGUACUAGAAUAUUUUGUAUUUUUAUAUUCAUUUGCUGGUGGAAGUAAGGCUCAAGUCACGGUGAAUAAAAUUUAAACUGAUAAUAUGCAUUAAAUUUUUAGAUCAAGAUAUUGUCGGUGUUUUAUAUAGCAUAAGAAUUUUCUAUCAAUUCACGGGGAUUUUGUUGAUAUGUUCUAUUACGUUUAAAACUGCAAAGCGGCUCACCACGGUCAUGUAAUUAUUGUUUUGAGUGCCCUUCGAUCACAUAGGCAAGAUUUCGAAAAAUCAUAUAUUUUUAAUUUCAAUUCAUUAGAUCAGUUUAACGGAACCGAAUCGACGGAUGUCGAAGGUCGCCAACCGAAAUGAUUGGAGCACGGAGCUCCGUGCUUCAGAAGCAUGUAUCCUCUUAUAGGUAUAUACUCAAUAUUAUACUAAAUUUAUUAUAUAGUCUUUUCUUAGUUUUGGAUAUUAUACUCUUAUAAACAUGAUUAUCUUCAUAUUUAUAAGUUAUUUUGAAAAUAAAGCUUCUAAAUUGACGAUCUAUACCGCGAAACAGUGUCUAGAACACUGGAAAUUUUUAUAAAAUUAAAUUUUAUAAUUUUUCGGCAUCAUUUAUCUUACGAUCAAAAAAUCUCAAAGUUAAUAAUUUUUAACAGCCGGCAUAAGAUAGUUGCUCGUUUAAUGGUGUAGAAUAAUCAAAAUUUGUUGAAUUUGUGAUGAAAAAUUCUAUUCACUGUCUGGAUGAAGAUCAAUAAUUUCAAUCUUAAAUUAAAGAAUCCGAUUCCCUAAUUUUAGGAGGUCGUUCGUUUUUUACGGUUCAUUUUAUGCUUGCUUGAUGAAUUUUAUAAUAAUUUUAAAAAAAUUAAUUAUAAAUUUUGGUUUCUAGGAGUUUAAAUACUUUAAAUCAUAUUUAACAGUAUGGAUUGUUGAUUCGCAAGCUCCAUCAUCCAAAACAAUUUAUAAGGACAAAAUUUUAUACUCAUAAAAGUAUAAUAACCCUACUAUCUCUCUCUCUCUCUCUCUCUCUCUCUCUCUCUCCUCUCUCUUAUAUAUAUAUAUAUAUAGCCCGGCUGGAAUACUAUCGAUAGCACCAAGAUUGUGCUAUCGAGUUUUCCACCGUUAAAUUUAACCCUUAUUAUUUUUAUCCGUAGAUUCUUAUAUUAUUUCAACUAAUCACUCACUCAAAUCCUAGAAGGCCACAUCAUCCUAACACAACAUUUCUCAAUCAAGGGUUAAAAAACUAAUAGCACAAUAAUUUUGUGCUAUUGAUAGUAUUCCAGCCUUAAUUAUUAUAUAUAUAUAUAUAUAUUAUAUAAUUAUAUUAUUAUAUAUAUAUAUAUAUAUAUAUAUAUAUAUAUAUAUAUAAUAUAUUAUCUUUCUUGUCUCCUUUUUACCCCUCUUGCCUUAUUAGUGGAUUCCUAUUUUUGUUCAUUUUUUCACUUCUUUUUCUUUUAACUAUAUUCGUAUUACUGUUUCUCCAGUUUUUAUAUAAGUUUUGGGAUAUACACCAAUCAAGAGCCUUGCUUAUAGUACUGGAGAAUUACUAUAAGAAAGGCCCUUGCUCUAGCCAGAGCUACCACAUAUUAAUUAUUGCACUCCAUUAAAAAUUCUUAUCUUAUAGAAAAUUACAAGAUUGAUUAUUUUCUUAACAUUAAUUAUUUCGACAUGAGGUUAUUAUAGGGACGGACAAUAGUAUCUCAUAUUCAGCACCCUCCUCACAUAUGGACUAGUUUAACAUUGUGUAAUAAUCAAUUACUCUAAAUAAUUAAACUGUUAAAAAAUGAUAUUUUAAUUUAUAUUAAUUGUAUAUUCCAAACAGCAUUGUGGUCUAGUUCUUUUACGAAAAUUCACCAACUUUAUCUUUUUUAUAUCAUAACUACUAAGUGUAGGUGUGAGCUAUUAAAGCUAAUUUUAUGAGAUGAUUUUAUUAUUUAGUUUCUAAAAUAAUGCAAUUGAUGAUGAUGAUGAUGAUUGGUUAAUUUACCUGAUAAUUAAUAUACUAUUAAUUCGAACUCUACUAUUAAUGUAAUUGAUAAAUUAAGCUACUAAUUGACAACACUUUGCAUGAUUUGGAGGACAGGGACAUAAAUAUAUAGGGGCAAAAUGGAACACAUCUUCUUUUUUUUUUUUAAAUAAUAAACAGUAAUUAAAAUUGACUGGAACUUAACUAGAUGGCUAGUGAUGUUUACGCAAGUGGGUACAUUGGAAAUUUUCAUAGAUACUUACUAGUAGGAGAAUAUAAAAUUAAAACAAUGCCCAAUCAACUUGAUUCAUAGUUAGAAGAACUAAUUAAUUAAUAAAAAAAUUGAAUAAAAAAAACAAACCUUGCAGGGAAUAGAAGAGGAAUAGAGAUGGGGUAUGGGAAUAUGGAAUGAGGGGGCUUUUAAUUCCCUCAUUCCCUCUGACUCCUUGAGCCCUCACAUGAAAAGUUUAGGGCGCGCACUGAAUAUGAUUGAUCAAUUUAUUUGAUUCCCUUCAUAUAUAUAUAUAUAUAUUUUUUUUUUGCCUUGGCAGGUAUAGGGACAUCUCCUUACUCCUUAUGAGGCGAUUUUCAGGCAGGUUCCCUAUUCAAAAGACAACUCCCCUUCUUCUCUUUGGACUCUCCAUAACACUCCAAAAUCCAUGCACUCUUAAUGUAGCCCUACAAUAAUACUAUUAAUUAUAUAUAUAUAUAUAUACACACAUAAUUAGGCCUUUAUGCUUCUGCUUUUAGCAACAAAUUUUUUCUAUAGUUUUUUUUUUUAAAAAAAAUGUAGAGCUAGCUCUNCUAUAGUUUUUUUUUAAAAAAAAAAUGUAGAGCUAGCUCUAAAGAAAAAUAAAGUUACGAGCCUGAUUUGUGUGCCGCUAAUUAAUUUCGCUUUAGAGAGGAACUGUUUUAGUAUUUUAAUAAUAAAAUUAUUCAGAUAACACUUCAUCAAAUAACAUUAUACUGUAUAGUAUGACCAAACAAGUCUUAGCCACAAUAUAUUACAGCUAUCUCAUUCUUGCUUUUAUUAUUAGCAUUAUUUUUAUAUUGAUUGGGUUGUUGUUCUUAGUGUGUACCAAUAGUAUCUCAACCCUAGCUUCUCUCCCUUUUAACCCAUCUUCUUGUACAUCAAGCUAGCAGGUUCCUUUGCCUUUUGGCUUCUCUUGGUUGUAUUUUGCUGCUGCUUCUGAGAAGCGAGAGAGCCCCUUCCUCUAGUCUCUUCUGGUUCCAGGGUUUGUGUUCCUUCUUAAUUAGUUCUUUGUAGUUUGCUGAUCACCAAGUUUUAUGUGGAGAUCAAGAACGUUAUAAGUAAAUAAUUAUCCUACAAAUUAAGCUUAAAUGCACCUACAUAUGCUUCUAUCUCCAUUUAGACACUAUCUACAUCAUUCUCAGAGAUACUUUGUGUCUUUCCUUUACGUUUCUUUCACUACCAACAUGCUCGACUUCUCAGAUCUUAGAGCAAGCAAGCAUGCAUCCGUGCAACGGAACAGUAACGGUGCCGCCGGGAUUCCGUUUUCACCCGACGGAUGAGGAGCUCCUUCACUAUUAUCUGAGGAAGAAGGUGGCCUUUGAAGCUAUCGAUCUCGACGUCAUACGUGUUAUUGAUCUCAACAAGCUUGAGCCUUGGGAUCUCAAAGGUUAGAUUAUGUGUUCCUGGUUUCUCCUCUUUUAAUUAGAGGCACUUUUGCUGUGUAUUCAAUCUCCCUAUUUUUAUUUUUAUUUUUCCUUUUGAGUGAAUUAUACUGAACACUAGAUAUGCCUUUCGAAAAAGUAUAUUGAACACUUGAGGAGGUGUAAAGGUUGGAUCCAAAUGGACAGGUUCCCAAUUCUCCUAUUAGUUACCUACAAAUGAAAGAGUAGUAAUCUGAAUUCUAGGGCUAAUUUGUUAUCCUUCAUAUAGAAAAACCUUUUUUUUGAUAAUUUUAUAAAGAACUAAACCUACUUCCCAGGGUUUGUUGAUGAGCUUGAACUCUACUGCAUAUUAAUCUCUAAAAAUUCCUUCAUGUGAUUUACGCUGAUAAAGAUCCGACCCCCGUGCAGAUAAGUGUAGAAUUGGUACGGGACCUCAAAAUGAAUGGUACUUCUUCAGCCACAAGGACAAGAAAUAUCCGACGGGAACGCGGACCAACCGAGCAACCACCGCUGGAUUUUGGAAGGCCACGGGGCGGGACAAAGCUAUCCACCUCGGUGACUCGAAGAGAAUCGGCAUGAGAAAGACCCUAGUCUUCUACACAGGGAGAGCCCCUCACGGCCAGAAGACCGACUGGAUCAUGCAUGAGUACCGCCUCGACGAUGAAAGCACGGAGGUCCUGGUAUGCAACCAUAGCUGUUUGUAGCUUUAAUUCCUCUUCUUUUUUUUUUACCCUUUUCCUUAGUGAGGUUUUUUUUUUCUUUCUUCCUUAAUACCUUUUCUUUUGCAAGUUGAUGAUUAAGAACACUGUGAGAGAACAAAUGUUAGUUUUCUAGAGCUUAUUCUUCGUGUAAAAUUAAAAUAAGGGGUUGAUUGGUUCUUAUAAAUUCAAUGGCCAAAGUUAUUUUAUACCAUUAGUUACCGAUAAUCACCAUUCCAAAAUAAGAAACCCUAAAUCAUGUAUAAGGCAUGACAGUAUAACCUUAGCUACAAUAUGGUGCAAUAUAUAAUGGCCUAUUACAUGAUACUCUAGUUUACACUGUGAACAUGUCUCUUUGGUCUAAUGUAUGAAGCAUUAUUAGCAACAUCACUUCAAGAAUCUUCUUAUAAGCUAUUAUAGAUUUCUUUCUUCUAUUUUUGAAGAAUUUCUUAAGGAUAUAGAUUUACAUGCAUCAAGCAUGAUACAUACUAAAGAAAAGUGACCUUCUCCUUUUUGCAAUACAGGAAGAAGGAUGGGUGGUAUGUAGGGUAUUCAAGAAGAAGAACCAUCAAAGAGGCAUCCCCCCCGAAGCGAUGCUCGAAGACGAUGAACCAAAUCUCUCGCGACCAACAAGGUCCGCGCUACUCGAUCCGAAACACAACUUCAACAUGCCGUCCGACUUCACCUUUGACGCCUCGAUGCAUCUCCCGCAACUUCUGAGCUCCGAAUCCUCGCCACUCCCGUCUUUCAUGCCUCAACAAGUCUCCAUGAACUCACUAGACAUCGAGUGCUCUCACAACCUAAUGAAGCUCACAAAUGGCGGGGCAAGUAACAGCCAUCAUCAUCUUCUUCCACAAGAGAGGUUCAACAAUGGGGAUUGGUCUAGAUUAGACAAGCUCCUAGCUUCACACCAACAGUUGGAUCAGCUCUUUAAUGGGAAGCUCAAUACUCCACCAUCUCAUCAACUGAUCAUGGAGAUGGGCUCAUCAAUGGAGAGGUUCCCUUUGCACUCUCUUGUGUGCGAGAAUGAUAACAUCAUGAAGUUCCCUAAGUAAGGUUAUUAACUACUUGAUGUUUACUUAUCUUGUUUGAGUAGGUUUCUUUAUAAUGUUUAGAGGUUAAUUUGAAGGUUUUAAAUGUAUAUAUAAGUGUUUCGUAUGUUUGGACCAUUAUCAUUUUCCAGUGGUUUGAACAAGAGAUUUUUAUUUUUUUUCUCCCUUCUGUUUGCUUUCCUUUGGUUUAUUAGUGAAACUGUUGGUGUUCUAUUAUUUCAUGAGUUUGCUUUUGUACUCACAAAAAUUGCCCAUGUUUUUUUUUUUUUUUUCUAGUGCGCAUGCGGUCCCAAAUGAUGGUAAAAAAUUCGGCACUCUCCAGUACAAAAUUUAUUGCGAUCAUUUUGGAAAAAUAAAUUGUUACCACGAGUACACAAAUAGAAAUGACACCGAGAGGCAUGAAGUAAACAAACUACAAAAUAAUAAAAGAAAAUAAAACACAUGAACUUACAUAGAAAAUUUUUUGCAGGAAAAAAAAAUGAUGAACGAAGGAAAAAAUUUCACCACAUAAAAUAAAAAAAAAUACAAGUUCUGCAUAUUACAAUACGCCAUAACGCCUCUAGGACAAAAGAAAAAAGAAAAUGACCCAUUUACUAUUUAACGAGUUUCUUUAAUAUCGGCCCGAACUCUCCGUUUUCAUUAUAAAUAUCUCUUUUUUUUUCCACAAAUCGUUUUUUCUUUUUUUUGAGAGAACAAAUCGUUUUUUCAAAAUUUAUCAUACUGUGAAGCUGCUGAAAUAACUAGGAAUAAAAAAUCAAACUCGAUAACUAAAUUUCAAGACACAUCUAACAUAAAUAAAAUAAAAAGUGAGAGACAUGUUAGCAUAUAAUUAGCCAUCAAGCACCAAAGUAGGUUACAAAAGGAUGACAAUAGCCAAGGAAAUAUAAUCCCUCACCUUAAUCAUUAUUCUAUGUCAUUAGAGUACUUUUCUUUUUCUUUUUCUUUUUUUUGCAGUAAAUUGAAGUACCCACUCUCCAUAUAUUGGAAUAACUUUGCCCAUUAAAAAAAAAAGGAAAAAAAGGUCCUACAGAAGUUCCUUGUAUGACGAAUUUUUCUUAGUUUUCUUUGAUUAUUACAAAUUAGUAUUCAAUCCAUUAAGUACAGAUGUUCUUCUCGUAAAUUGAACAAACUAUUCAACUAAAAUUUCCAUCUCAACAUAUUAGUUUUCAAUCGUUCUAUUCUCUCUCUAGAAAAUUUAAAAAAAACAGAUAAAUUUUUUUUAAAAAAAAAUAGAGUAGGAAAUUAUAGUAGUAAACGGCCUAUUCUUUGUUACCAGGCCUCGUAAAUGGGCCAAGCUAUGGGCCAAGGCUCAACAAUUUGUGAGCACUAUUAACAUAAACUUCUCUAUAUAGAAUACGGCUGCUAUACCAUCAGUGUACCAAGAUCUUGGUACUAUCGAGUUUUCUGCCAUUAGAUUUAUCCUUUGAUCAUUCCCAUCUGUUAGAUUAUACUAUUCAACCAAUCACCCACUUAAUCCUAGGAGACCACUGUCAUCCUAACCGCACAUCUUUUUAUCUAAUGACCAAAUAUUAUAUAGUACCAAGCGCUUGGUACUAUAUAAUUGAGUUCCUAUACUUUUAAAAGUACCGACUAUAUUUGUAGGUUUUUGGCCCUUGAAUUAAGAGAUGCACGGUUAUAAUGAUAGUAGUCCCCUGAGAUUGAGUGGAUGGUUGGUUAAAUAGUAUAAUCUAACGAGUAGAAAUGAUCAAAGAGGUAACUCUAACGAUGAAAAAUUUACUAACACCAAGUACUCGGUGCUUUUAAUUUCUCCAAAAUUAUGUUUAGUACAAAUGAAAAUUGACCCCUCAACUAUAUGCCCUACCGGAUGGAGCCCCAAGGCGACUCCAUGUCGACGAAGAAUUCUUUUUUUUUUUUCAACCCUCAAAAAUGAAAUGAUGAUAUUUUAUUCAUAACAGCAUUGCACACCAUUUCCGUGUACGGGUGUGCCUGUUCAAAUGCAUUAUAAUACUGGGCCUUAAUUGGAUUCUUGUCCAUUAGCAUCAAAUUCGGCCCAAUUGGGAACCAGGUAUGGGCCCCCACCGAACACAACAUUUUGUCUGGCCCUACCGGUCAACGGUACGUGCUUCCAGUCAAUGUUCCGAGCCCUAAUUUUUGUCGGGUUGUUGCCCUACACAACAUCCCAUCCCGUUAAUCCUUCCGUAGACCCGGUCCACGGUUUUGCAUCCCAGGUUUUUUUUCUCUCUUUUUUUUUUUUUAACAAACAUGAUUAUAAUAUUGAAUAAUGAAUGAUCUCCCUGGAGAUUCUUCUGUGAUUUGGCUUGUGUUUUUUAGUAAUGAUUCAAAGAAAUUUUAAUUUGUCUCUCAUGCUAUGUCGGAAGAAUACACUGUAUGUAACUUGUUUACUAACUAAUCAAAGAGAGCUCUAAAAAUUAAACAAAAAAAGAUGAAGUGUCAUUCUCCAAUUAUUUUUUGUUUUUUGCGCGAUUUUCUAGUUAUGCUUUUAAUUUCAGUCGUUUUCAAUAAGCUAUUUAACAAAAAAAAAUUAUUGUUUUUUUGUCGAAAUGAUCUUUCAAGUUCUAGAUGAGGUAGUCUGAUUUUAAACAUCUGAUGCAGAGAGAAAUUAUUGAAUAUUUUCAUGAUUUGUUUUCGAUAGUGCUCUAACAAUAAAAUCAUCGAAUGACACUAUAUUUUAUAGUGAGAUUAAAUAGAUUAUUGUUUUUUUUUUUUUUUUGAGAAAGAGGUAGCAACAAAUUAUUGUUAAUACCUCAAAUUAUGGGUCGUGGGCACGGAAAACUGUGACCACCUCUUCGACAACUGUGUUUUUGUCAAAUACCUACUUUAUAGCGCACAUGGCUCGGAAUCACUUUUACAUCCUUUGGAUGUUCGAGACCUCUGGCAUACGGCCACUAGCGUCUCCGACAAGCUUAAAUGGGUAAAAUGUCUGACUUCGUUGUCUGCCACUUGGUGGAUGGUUUGGACCGAGCGGAACAAUACUAUUGGAUAAAAUUCAUUUUCAGGGAGGAGCUAGCCUCUCCCUCCUACUCUCUUGAACAUGUCAGUCUCCUAUGAAACUCGUGGGAUGAGCCCGCUGAUCGACGCUCCCCUCUCGCCGGACCAGGCCUUCGGCCCCCUCUCCUUCCUCUCUCUUUCAUCCAGAAUCAUCGGCUACUGUCUUUUUUCAUUUUCAGCUUUUCUAUUUUUUCUAUUUUUUCGAAAGCCUCUAUUGCUUCCAUAUGCCUAUUUCAUUUCGCCUAAUAAAUGAAGCAGGUAGCUUGCUAUCUAUUUUUUCAAAAAAAAUACCGCAAAUUAAGUCCUUGUGUAAUUGUGUGGUUAAUUCAAUUUUUUUUUUGCGCCGUUGCAUGAGCUAUUCUUUCGAAAAUCCGACGUUCUUAAUUAGAGAAAUGCACCAUGUCCAUCGAAGUGAGCCACAUCUUGUCAAGCAAUAAAUACGUCUAACUACCUUAAUUAACGUGCAUUGUACUGAUCCAAUAGAGACUGACACGUGCAUAGAGAUAUAUAAAA
rnacentral:lncRNA from 1 species